UUUUUUAUUUUUUGCUUUACUCAUAUCAAUCAUCAAAACUAUGCAAACAAGUAAACAACAUUAGAUUAAUACUAACAUAAAAGUUGCCAUGUGUUAAUUUUAUUUUGUUUUAUUUUAUCAUUCAAAAACCUCAACUACUCCGAGGUUUAAUCAUUCAAAUGACACGGAAUUUGGUACUCCGUGCUCCUUCGAUUUCAACGUGCCUGCAAAAAUUCAAAAAUAGAUUACGGGUCUUAAUCAAUUCAAUAAUUAAAAUAGGCGGGCCUAGAGAAGAAAAAAAAAUUACUUUAAUAUCAAUAAUUAAAAUAGACAAGUUCAACAAUAUUUCAUUCUAAAAGAGUAAUUGAAAUUCGUUAUACGGGAAAGAAAAUUAGUAGAAAAAAAAAUGGAAAUCACGUUCACUAAAUAAACCUGCUUUUACUAAAUAAAAACAAUAUGAGGGCAUAUUUGGGGUUAAAAUAGGUGUAAUUUUUUAAAUUUUAACAUUAAAUUUUUUAAAUAAAUGGGUAAAAAAAAUAUUUUCAUGGGUUCAAAUAACUCACCUUUUUUUUUUUAAAAUGUUAGGGGUUUCUUGGCUACAAAUGGAUAGGAUAUAUAGUAUAUUCUUUUUACUUUUUUAUUUGGUACCAAAGUUGCGAACAUGAUCCGCAAAUUUCAAAGACCGAACAAUGUUAUUUGAUUAUAAAACAAUGCGUAAAUCAUUUAGCGAUGACAUUUAUCAACCAUCAUCAAAUUUACGUUUUAGGACAAGCGGACGUGGUUGUAUCUUUUAUUGCAUGAUAAGCGAACUUGACACCCACGCAAUAAAUAAUAUAGGCAUUUUAUCACAAGCUUUGGUAUGAUGCAUGACUUUGUGGCUUAAUUCUCGGUCAUCACAUAAAAGACUAAAGAGAGGAAAAAGAGCAAAAUGCAUGGCACUUUGGGAUAUUUUUAUAAUUCCUUUCAAGUUUUAAUAGACUUGAAUGAAAAGAGAACGCGCCCCCACAUGCACAUUGCUCCACCUUUGUGAACACAUAGGCUCUUUUUUUAUUUUACAAAACUUUUGUUUGGUGGGUCAGGUCAAAAGAACCAAUUGUCACAAGAUGGCCAGACAAAAGCACUCACAAUUAUUACUAUUUUUUUUAAAUAAAAAAAAGGCGUAAAUCAGAAACAGAAACCAAACCCCAAGUUGAAGCAAAUAUUCAUAAUUCAAAAAAGGUCAGAAACCAAGCUCCACGCUUGGCUGUAAAGUGAAAUGUUGUGGAAACAAACGUCAAAAAAGCUGCUGUACCGUACAUCCGCCUUGGCCGUACAAAUGGGGCCCUGCAGAUACCCACCGAAAUUGGCAAUGGAGAAAGCCCUCAAGCCUUAUUGCAGGACAGCUUUUAACAUAGGCAUAUGACUUGCGAGAAAAUGAAGCAGGCAUAAAUAUUAUUCGGGAGCUGCUAUGCUACCUUGCAAUUACCGUAAGGUACAGCCCUCUCUAUUGGUUGUGGGCCUAAGUGGGACUCAUAACUCAAUUUGUGAGGAGAUGUACCUUGCAUUUAUUGACCGUAAAAGGUAGAGAAAUCCUAAAUAUUCAAGCCUGUAAAUUUUGAAAAACUCAAUUGCUUUUCAAAUCAGCACGGGGACUAUUUGUAUAUCAGAAUAAACUGCAACAACAAAGAAGUAAUCUACAGAGUUCAACCUAUAUGUCGCCAAGAUCUCAAUCCAAUUUCAUCCAACAAUACAUUACCUGUUUCAGAACAUAAGCUUCAAACAAAAUGUGGUUCUCUUCCAAUGAAUUACUGACUUGGGGAUCUAAAUCCAAUUUUGUCCAACGAUACAUCACCCGCUUCAGAAUCAUAAACUUCAAAAAAUAGCUGGUUCUCUCCUAAUGGGUUCACUGACUAGGGGGCCUAUCUCCAUUGCGUUCACCUGAGUACUCCCGUCUCGGACUCCGGCUUCGGCUUCUGCUCACGCUGUGGUUACGUUUCGGGGUCCGGCUUCUGCUUGGGCUCCAGCUCUGACGUUGGCCUCUGUGGGGACUUCUACUUCGGCCUCUGGGCCCGUCGUAAGCUGGAGAACGCGAGUAUGAUCUCUCUCGGCUAUAGUUCUGACCAUGAGGUGAAACAGAUCUACCUCCGAAUAGGCCAGAUAAAUACGUUAGACGUCUCUAGACACUUGGCUCAAGCAAGUUUUAAGCUAUGAAAAACCAAGAUAUAAACAAUAAUAAAACAGAAGGAAAGGUAAAAACAAAUAGGGAUUCAAACAAGAAUAGCACAAAAGCCAAGAAGGCAUCAAUUGCCUAGCAUUUUUUAAACAAAUGAUUUGAAGAGCAGAUAAAUUAAGAAAAAUUAAUUCAUUUGCAAGCAGUUACAAGUAACAAUAUUACUUGCAAAAGAAAAGUUUAGGCUAGAGAAAGGCAAAUAUGUUGUGCAUUCAUUUGUGCUAUAAAACCCAAAACAGUGGAACCCAACAGAUCCAACUUCAUAUGAAAAACAAGGUUAACAUAUUUCACACCUGGAGUAAUUCCUGCGUCGGGGUGGAGGAGAAUAAUCACGACCGUAGGAGGGAGAUCUUGCAUAACGUGGAGGUGGGGAACGAGAAUAACGAGGAGGCGGGGAACGUCUACGAAAUCGACCCCUGCAAAGUGAAAGCCAGCAGCAACUUAGUAAUAUUUAUUUCCAAAAAAAAUGAUAAAAGAAAAACGUCUGAAUGCAACAAAUGGUAGCCAUGCAUCUUAAUUGAUUACCUUUCACAUUGACCAAAGGAUAUUAAAUACGAUUUUAGGACAUACAUUAGCAAAUUGUUGGUUUUAUUCUCAUUAUAUUUUGAAUAAUUAGUUCUACUCAAUAAAAAACAAAUCUUCAUCACAGAGCAUAUAGUGUCCAUAAUCCAAAAAUGGCAGCUGGUAUGAAUGUCACCAGAUGUAAACUACAUGUAAGAGUCCACUUGAAGAAGGGGCCAUCAAAUUAGUGAUCAACAAGAUUUUUUAAAUGUCGGGAAGACAUAUUUAACAAUGUACCCUUCCACCUAGCACAAUCACAGCAGGCAUCUAUAAAUUUUUGAAAAAUAUCCAAAUGCAUCACUAUAAAUUUAAUAAAGAAAUGAGUCAAAACCUCAGGCCAAAAGCAAAUUCAUCCAAAAUACCCUGCAAAGGUAGCAUAAAACUCACCUUCCCCGCUCCCUUGCUCUCAUAUCAGAUGGCUUCUUCCUAUUCUCCUCAGCAAACACAACAGUCAACUCCCGGCCAAGAAGAACCUGACCAUCCAUGUGACGUUUGGCCUCUGCAGCAUCAUCAGGUUCUACAAAUUGGAUAAACCCAAAACCACGAGGUUCCCUGCAAAAUUUUGAUGUUAAAACAAAGGCUGAGACAAACAGUUAUUAAAAAGCCAACAACAGAGAAAAAGAUUAUGACGGGUGUUGAGCACACCAUAAACCUUUGCAAAUUGAAACUGCCAAAACAAUCCCCAGGAAUAUGGAAGGUCAUGAUAAGCAUUAAAAAGCAAGCACUUGCCUGCUAACCUUGCAAGUGUCAGUUUUAAGUGGACUUGAAAUUCCUCAAGACUUGGAACAUCUUCACAAUGUAUUCAAACCCAACUUCCUUCAAAUCUUCACUACCAUUAACAUCAUCUUCAAAAGAACUCUAAAUACUUGAAUGAUGUCUUCAAAACUUUAAUAGCACUGUUAAAUCCCAGCAACUUCAAUUAUCGCACCCAACUAAUAAUUAAAAUAGAGUACAUCAUGAAGGAAUGCCAAGACACAGAUGACAAUGAGGCAGGUGCUUGGUAGGCUGUUCAGUAACAACUCAACAAACAUGCUUUCAAACUUUGUCAAACUCUUUCAAAACGCAACUUUCUAAAAGAUGGUGUUAAAGAUGAUUUUUUUAACAAAAAGAGAAGGGCACAAACCACAUGAAUCACAAUUAUAUGAAUCCCAUAAAAAGUGCAUUUUCAAAGAUCACGAUAAAAAAUAGUAAUCCCGGGUAUAAAGAUCCAGAAAACGAACCCUGACAUCAUAACUACUAUUUCUUCACGAAACCAACAAUUAUUCUGAAAAUUUUACCAAGAAUUUCCUCAACUUCAUGAUAAAACUGACAAUAGUUUUAAGUAAACAAAAUAAGGCAGUUAUCAAAGAUACUUCAAACUUUUUAAGGCUGUAGCUAUCUGCUCACCCAGAAUAAUAAUCCCUUGGCAAGUAAAUGUCCUUGAUUGCUCCAAACUGCUCAAAUGGCCUGCGAAUAUCUUCUGGCCUACAAACAGCACAAGAAGCAAAUGAAAUGUUACUCAAAAAAAUUAUUUUAAGAAAUGACUCUAAAAAUAGCUGAGUAUGCAUUCCCAGCUAAGACACCAGUCAGUGUGUCACUAGAAUGAACACAUACUACUUAUCUAUCUUGUAUUCAUCUUUUACAAUAAGAGUCAAUGCCAUAUUCAUCCACCAAAACUAGAGGUUGGACAGUUCAAACAGAACCAACUUCAUUUUUUAUUAAGAUAUACCAUUCCAUAGACAAGGUCAAAUUCAUAAUGCAUUUGUCAUUUGUGUAAUGUAAUUAUGCUUCUUGUCACUCAUCAAAUGGGGGCCAAAUGUUUCCCACUGGAUUAUAUCUACUUGUAAUGAGAGGCAACACCACAAGGCACUAUUUUAUGGCACAGAGAGUCAUACUAACUAGAUAAGUGCUUCAUGCUUGUGCCAACCUGUGUUAGAAUACGCAUACAACACAAGUUGGGAAAUAGAGCCAAUCGAAACAAGUUUUAUAUCAUAAACAAUAUGUAAUAAACACUACCAUUCCUCAUCUAGACAUCUAGAUUUUGUAUAAAUUUCAGUCUCUAGUAACUCGCAUCCAUCAAUAGAGUAAGAAUUCUCAUCAAUUCAAGAAUUAUAUUAUGCAUGAAGCUCACACAUGGCUAACCACUUUAGUUAUUGUUGUGGUAAAAGUUUCUAUAUGGUUAUUUUGUGUAGCCACAGUUGAAAGAAAGAAAAAAGGUAUUACUGAAGCAAAAAGAUCGAAGAUACAUGCGUGGACUAGAUGCCCACAAAGAAAACAAAAGGAACCUUUUCAAGAGAGCAAUAUCAAUCCUCCAAAGUAAUCUCCCAAUUUUCAGCAUUCAUCCAUUAGAUGAUCAGUGGGCAUGAAAAAGAUUGGAAUACUACAUAGGAAGCAUGCUAUUGCUCUUUCAAAAUACUGAGAAACCUACCUAUGGCAGCAAGUAGGGUUUUAAAAUGCUUCUUAACUGUUUGACAUAAAAUUAACUAUUAAACAAAUAUUAAACUCUCCCGCUUCCAAUAUUCUCCAAAUCAGAAACCUUUAGUAGUUAUUACUGUAAACUACAUAUUUUGUUUAAUACAUGCAAAUAACCUUUUGACCUACACUUUAUGAAAGAUUUAUCUUGAUCUAGGUCCUAGAUUUUCGUAUGUUCUUCAAAAAGUUUCUACAUCGCUUAUAGCAGUAGAGAUGUUUUAUAAGCAACAGAAAGUCAUGUUAAUAUUUCAUUAUCAACAGGAUCAUACGUCAAUGGCCUCCAAGCUCUGCAUUAGGUGCAUUUUACUCAAACGCACUUUAUACAUGAAUACUUCUAGCAUAGAUGUAGUUUCGUGCAGAACCAAUCUUAUUAAAAAUCACUUCUCCAAAAAGUAACACUUUCACAUUCAUAUACAAGCCACACCUUUUCCAUUCAAUCAACUAGUGAACUAGUUUCUAAAACAUUUAGACAAAAUAUCUUAACCAAUAAAAUACUAAACUAGUUUAAAAAGAAAAAAGAAAAAGAAUCAUUACCUGCAAUCAUGGCGAAGAUUACGAACAAGAAGGCUAGUAGGCAAAUCUCUCCCACGCCCACCACCAUAACGGCCUCUUGGGCUAGGGCUCCGUCCUCUACGGCCGUACCCGCCACCACUACCCCUUGGCGGCGGCGACGGCGUGUAACUUCUUCCUCUCAUUGUUUAAGAAACGAAAACGUCCAAUCUGCACGGUUUCAAUAAGUGCUACAGUUAUAAGACGAAUUAUCCUCACACCCAAUCAAAAAAAAAAGUUAAAAAGAAAGCAAAAUUUACAUGAUAUUCAACAAAAGACGCGAAAAUGAUAUUAGGGUUUUGGGAUGUUUGGGAACUUACCAGAGGGCUGUGCCGUGCUUUUGGCUUUUGGGAGUUUUGCUUUUGCCUUGUUGCGUAUAAAGAAAGAGUAAACUGACAGCUAGGGCUAGCGACGCUAGAUAAGUAGACACCGCCCUUUUAAGGAUAGGACCGGGCCAAAAAAACAGUAUUCUUAAAAAAAAGGGAAAUUUACAACAAUAGCCAAACAAAUUAGGCAUUUUUCAACUUUAACCCCUCAAAUUUUUUUCUAUCAACGUUAGCCAAAUCACCAAAUUGUGGACGAAAUUGCCCUCCUCAAUCUCACGUUUCCCUCAAACAAAUUCCUCCCCCUCUCACCAAAAUCUCAUCACCGGAAGUUGUGUAGAUCGUCGGCGGCAGCGUAGAUCGGCAGCAUUUCAACCCAGGGCAGCUGAAAUUGAAAACCCUAGGUGAGUUGUUAUUGCCAUAGUUGAUGUUGUUGAUGUUGUUGUUGUUGUUGUUGUUGUUUGGAAUGUCGUUGUUGUUGGUGGUGUGGUGUUUAAUGGCGGUUGUUGGUGGUGUGGUGUUGUAGAUGCAUGUGGGUGAGCUGCGCGCACGCUGCGUGCAACGCUGCGCGCAUCUCGAGUGCGACGCAGCGCCUGUCGCACGCGAGAUGCGCGAGGCACGCUCAUCCCGCGCCGGCGAGAUGGGCAAGCCGCGCGCAUCUCGCGUGCGACAGGCGCUGCGUCGCGCGCAUCUCGAGUGCGACAGGCGCUGAGCGCGAGCUGCGUGCAGCGUGCCAGCCUGCGCGCAGCAACUCGCGCGCGCGGCUCGCGCAUCCCACGCCCGCCUGUCGCACCAAGAGGUGCAGCCUCUUGGUGCAACGGGGUGCCCUCUUGGUGCAAGGCCAUCAUCAGGUUCAGAGGCUCUGUCUCUCCUAUUUGUUCAAGAGUGAUGAGCCUAGUGAGUAGAGAAACCAGUAGAUUUGUUGACAAAUACGAUGUUACUCUUGAUGUUUGUAUAUCAUCUGUGCUCUCACAGUCCAAAGUCCUUACACCCAAGGUGACAACUUUAUUAAUCAAUCGUUUGUGAGUUGUCUUUCGCUUCUUGCUUUAUCUUUAAUGCACUCAAUUUCUAAUUUGGCUUUCUCUUUCAUCUUUUGUUGGCAGCAAGUUGGUGAAACAACAGUAGAUGUCUGUGUGGAAGAUGAAACCGUUAAUUAUUUUCUUUUUACCAUACUGACUACAGUUCUGUUCUGUUAUGCAAAAUGGAAGUUUGAUUACAAUUUUUUUGUUUGUUUGUUCAUCCAGUUUGUCCAUUGUCCAUGCUACGAUGUGGCAAAAAUUUGUAAAAAAAUCAGGGAAAGAAAAAAAAGUGUUCUCAAGUUCUUUUGUGAGUUUUAAAUGUUUAGUAAAUGGCGUAACAACAGUAGAGAAUUUUCAAUCAACAGAUGGAGGCAGCUUAUGCCAAGGUGUUUUAUUAAUUUAUUGAAGAACAUUAUGACGAAGGAAAAAAAAAAAGGGGGAAUAAUUCUAUUAAACAAGAGCCAAAAAUACAUGAUUGAUCAUGAAAAUUUUAAAGGGCUUUCAGAGCAAUUGGAAACGACAAUGGGAGCUUCAACUCGCAUUUUUAAACAAUUGAACUCCAAAGCUAUCAUGGGUUUUGACAACAUUACUGAUAUGCUCAAACAAUUAUUCAUUAAUGAUUUCCCAACAUUUACAUUCAUCGUUCUACAUUUGACUUGUAUGCAUGAAUUUCAUUGUUGAUGACUUGACUCAGUGAUGCAGAAUCUUUGAACUUGUCAAAUCAUAUCUCUUCAUUGCUGCAAAUUGCCGAAGCUUUUUAGUUCUUCUCCUCCCCCGCCUGUCGCACCAAGAGGUGCUGCCUCUUGGUGCUGUAUUCUUCGCAUUCACGUACUCCGUACGGCCAUCUGCUAAUGUCUCCCACCAACCGUCGUAACAUAAUUGAAGUACAACCUAGAUUAUGAACUACUUGACCUAGAGAUACCAACAAUCACUAUUGUCGGAAAACUUGUCAAGGCAGGAAUCCCAGUGAUGGUGUACAGGUAAGUGUCUCUAACCUUGAAGCUUCCGCUUCAUUUUCAGUUUACAUGGGAUAUUUUUAUCAUUGAAAAUUGAAAUGAUACAUAUUGGUUAUUGAAUGACAGUGGAGAUCAAGAUUCUGUUAUUCCAUUGACUGGAAGUCGAAAAUUAGUAAAUGGGUUGGCAAAUGAAUUGAAAUUGGGAACCACCGUGCCUUACAGAGUGUGGUUUGAAGGGCAGCAGGUAAUGAAUCUUUUGAAGAUUGUCAAUUUUUUUUUAAAUUAAAAAAAAAUGCUAGUGUGACAAAAUCAGUAUUGCUUUUAAUCUCUAGGUUGGUGGAUGGACCCAAGUUUAUGGUAAUAUCUUAUCCUUUGCCACCAUUAGAGGAGCAUCUCAUGAAGCCCCAUUCUCUCAUAAGAUGUGGCAAAAAUUUGUAAAAAAAUCAGGGAAAGAAAAAAAAGUGUUCUCAAGUUCUUUUGUGAGUUUUAAAUGUUUAGUAAAUGGCGUAACAACAGUAGAGAAUUUUCAAUCAACAGAUGGAGGCAGCUUAUGCCAAGGUGUUUUAUUAAUUUAUUGAAGAACAUUAUGACGAAGGAAAAAAAAAAAGGGGGAAUAAUUCUAUUAAACAAGAGCCAAAAGUACAUGAUUGAUCAUGAAAAUUUUAAAGGGCUUUCAGAGCAAUUGGAAACGACAAUGGGAGCUUCAACUCGCAUUUUUAAACAAUUGAACUCCAAAGCUAUCAUGGGUUUUGACAACAUUACUCAUAUGUGAGACAGGCGCCUGUCCCACUUGCUUGUCUCACAUAAAACCAGUGGUAACAAGUGAGACAGGCGCCUGUCCCACUUGCCUGUCUCACAUAAAACCAGUGAUAACAAGUGAGACAGGCGCCUGUCUCACACGCCUGUCCUACUUGCCUGUCGCACAUAUUUUGGUGGGACAGGUGCAUGUCUCACAUAAAACCAGCAGAUUUAUGUGAGACAGGUGCCUGUCUCACUUGUUCUGGGCUUCAGUUUUACUCGAUUUUUCAGGAGUUUCAAUGAUUGAUUUUCAUUUCUCAACUCAAACUAACUACUUUAACAAGUCACAUUGUUUUGUUAAUGAAAAAUAACAACAUUUGCCUUCAAUACUGUUAAGUUGAAAAGAGAAAAGUGGUGGAAGUGCUGGAAUUGAAAAGAGAAUAGUGGCAUGCCUUUGUAAAUUUGAUGAAAAUGAUGAGGAUAAUGUAGUCCAAAAAUAGGGUGUUUGGCUAGUUAUGAUAGAAAAAAGUUUGAGGGGUUAAAGUUGAAAAGUGCCUAAUUUUUUUGGCUAUUUUUGUAAAUUUCCCUAAAAAAAACCCAAUCUAAUCGACGGUACGGUUCUAAUUCGGUUUUAAUUUUUAAAAAAUUGAAAUAUAUUAUUUAUAAAAAAAAAAACUAAAAUAUCGGUUUGAUAUUCGGUUCACUCAAUUGAAUCGAAAAAUUAAACCAAAGAAUUGAAUCAUUAUUGUUAUUUUUAUUUGUCUUUACAACAUUAUGUGUUAUGUAAAUGGAAUAUUGGAGUUUGUUUAUGUAUUUUAAAAUCUUAAUAUUUCAUAUUUUGUGAGCAGUGAAUACUUUAUUAGUAGUUACUAAGAUAUUAAUGAUAAAAUAUAUUUUGAAUACUUUGUAUUUAUUGUUAAUAUUUAUAAUGAAAUUAGGAUGCAUUAAUUGUUGAAAAAAAUUAUGACAUUCAUGAGGGCCAACAAACUAAAAAUUUAGAAAAUUCAAAAUAGGUCAAGAAUCGAAAAAACCGAACUGAUUUAAAAAUAUUCGUUUGAGUUCAAUUCUUAUUGAGUUCGGUUUUUAUUCGAUUCUUUUUAUAAAAUAAUCAAUUUAAAUCGAUUUUACUUAAUUUCGAUCCGAACCCAACGGUGCGCAUCCUUAUUUAAAGAUGAGUAUUGUUUCUGUUUGAUUUGGAUUUAUUUAAAUAAAAAAAUGCUCAUUAUUAUUCUUUUUUAAUUAUGCUUAUCCCCUUUUUAAUUAUAUAAAUAUGUUUGUGUAUUUUAGAAAUAGUUUUUGAAAUCAGUUAAAUAGCUUGAUUUUUGUUUUAUUUUUGGAUAAUAUUUUAUGUGACGUAAAAAAUGAAUACAUUGAUAAAUUACCAAUAUUGGCCCUUGCAACAAUUUCGUGUGUGUGUAUAUAUAUAUGUGUAGAUAUUAAACAUUAAAAUUAAUGUUAUGAUGUCAAAAAAUGCGCAUGAAUAUUCAAAAAUUCUGCCACGUCACCGCCUAUUGGAAACAUAUAUAUGCAACUCCCUCGUCUCUUCUUCUUCUCCGGCAACAAAUUUAACCGGGUAAUUACAAUUUUUAAAUAUUUAUUAUCAUAAUUAUUUCUAUAGUUUAAUUUCAAUUCCCUUUUUGCUUAGAAUUUUUCCCAUGCUUGUAAUCCAUGAACAAUUUUUAUUUUAAAAGUAAUCCACAAAUCUUUCUAUUCCAUCACUAAUUUUGCUUCCCGUAUCUUUAUUAAUCUUACUUCUUUUUUUCCCCAUUCUUUGCAUCUUGAAUCGUGAUUUUGCAGUUGAUUCGGUCCAAGUAUUUUCUAUUUAUUCAAUUUUUUGUCCAUUUAAUUAGCAUCGAUGAACAGUGAUUAAGUUGUAAAUUUUGAUCCUUUCAUGCUCUAAUCUUAAGCUCCGAAUUGAUGAAGCAAACCCAUGCUUCAAUUUGCGUAGAUAUAUGCUUAAUGCUCCAGUUUGUGUAGAUAUAUGUUUAAUGAAGGAAUAAUGAGGUUAUGUUCUUUUAUUAUUAUUAUUUUUUGUUUUCUUGAUAGAUUAAAGUAUUUUAGGUAAGUUGUUUGAUGAAAUGCCUAAGUGAGUUUUUAUUGAUGUCAAAAUGAAGGGGUAAGAGUAGUUGGUCAGAUCUAGUGAUAAAAGUAAUCUGAUUAAGUAGGAAAUAUACAUCUGAGUAUUGAAGAGAAUUAUUGUUUGUGGACUUGGUUGAAGAUUUCAUUUUGGUUGAUUGAGGCAUUGGUUUUUGUAGGCAUUGAUGGAGGAGCAGUUCAUAUUGCGAGUUCCGCCUUCAGUUGCUGAGCGGAUAGAUCGCCUUUUGAGUGAAAAUGAGUCUUCAGAAGAGGACAAAUCACUGGAUUUGUCUUUUUGUGGUAAGUACAUGUUAUUCUUUCCUUGAAUUGUUUGAAUAAUCCCUGCGGUUUGUAAGGAAGCACUCUUUAAUUAAUGCUGAGUAUAAUCCAGUAAGAAGGAGAUAUUGCACCAUUCAAUCAUUUUCAUUGAUAUAGUAUAUCUCUAAUUCUAGUACAAUUUCGCUGCUUGCCUCCUUUUUGUCCUUGGGCUGUCACAACUGGAAAAUAUCAUCGUUAAUGUAUAGUAUGCCUUUUCAUUUUAUUUUUCCUUUGAACAAAUUUGUGCUUGCAAUUUUCAAUGAUCUUUUAUUCCCCACAAAUUAGUUAUAAUAGAAGCAGUGAGACAAUUGGAAGAAUUUUAUUUUAUUUAUUUUUUUUUUUUUGAAGCAUAAUAUUCGCAGAACUAAUUGUUUCACCUAUUGUCUUGGCAUAUCUGUUAACUUGGAUUUUCUCCAGAGGACGGGAGGAGUGGCACGUUUGUCAUAGGCAAUGACCAUUUUCCAGUAUCUCUCAUGGAUCUUCCUUGUGUUGUGGAGUCAUUCAAAACUUAUGAUGACUGUGCUCUAGUUAAAACUGCAGACAUUGGCCAGGUACGGGCCUUGUGAAGAUCUUCUAUUCAAUAUGAUCAAACACAUGUUUUCGUCAUUCUUAAUGCAACUGUAUUAACCAUUGUUGUUAUACAGAUGAUUAUGGUUAGAGAGCCAGGUGACUCUACUCCAGAUGCAGUGGAGUACAGACAUGGUCUUACCCCUCCAAUGAGGGAUGCUCGUAAGCGAAGAUUUCGAAGGGAGCCGGAUCUCAAUGUACAACUUCUCCUUACUUUUUUAACAAUUUGUUGAUUAUUGCCCUAUUUUCUAAUAAUAAAUAAAGAAGUAAAACACAAAAUAAAACUGUUUCUCUGUCUGGGGAAUAAAUUGCCAACUAAUGCAGUGUUCUCUUAUCGGAUGUAUGUAAUUUCAGUGGAAAUGUUCAUCUUUUAUAUAUUUCGUAAAAACUUGACCUUUACUGGAAACAUAAUUUAGAAGUUUUUGAUUAGUUUGGAGUGGCUUGAUAUAAAGCUGAUGUGGCUAUAGUGCAGCAUUACCUUUUGUUUCUUUCCAUCAAAAUUUUUAACUGAUUUUUGGUGUUGUCACCUUUUUCAGCCUGAACUCGUACAGCGCGUCGAGAAAGAUUUGUUGAACAUCAUGACCGGUGCAACAGUCGAAAAUGCAGAUAUCCUUAAAUUUAAAUCUAAUUUCAGCAUAGUUGUUUAGCAACGGAAAAUUGAAAAAAUGUUUUUCAUCAAGAAAAUUUAUAGGUCUGGGAAACCCUGGAUGUUGUUACAAAUACAGAGUAUAUAGAUUCCUAGCCAAGUUAUAGAGACCAUCACCAUUGUUGGCCAAAGUUUGAUUUUCAUGCUGUGACUUAUCCUAAUGGUGAAAUUAUGAAGUAUCAUUCUUGUUGGGGGCAUUGAGCAUAUUUCAUAGAUCUUGUGAUAUUUUGUUGGGUUAGGCAUAUCACGUUUUUCUUUCUCCUCCAGAUGAUUAAGAUGUUCAAUAACCAAUUUGAGUGCAUCAGGUCCUGGUAUUAUUGGUAUAGAUCAUUUGCUUAAAAAAAUUGAAAUCAUGUCACUGAAAAUGGGCAUCGCAUGAAUGACGGAACAACUCAUCAUUGCUAAGAUGUGAUACUAUUGUGUAAUUGAUCGUAGAGGGGAUUUAGGUUUUUUGUGAUUUAAAUGAUAUAGAUGUUUUUACUGUCUUAAUGUUUCUUGAUUGAAUAUUUUAUACGUACUUUAAGUUUUAAUUCAAGUGUUCCUUGACUGAAUGGCUUACAUCCUGAAGUGAACGAGCAAGAAGAAGAAGGUGAUGGGAAUGCACGUCAUGCAAACAGGAAGGAUGCACCUUCACCUCAACUAAAGCAACCUGAUAUUGCGGAGGCUGGAGCUAACACUGGAGCACCUGCAAGAAGCGACUCUGAUGAGUCUGAUGAUUCGAUGUAACUGCAUAUCUCAUUCGUGGGUUGAUUUAUUUAUAAUACUAUCGAUGAAUAUGUAGCUGGAUUGGUGUCAGAUUAGUACUUGUCUUUAGUUUGUUCAUGCGGCUUUUUGGUGUAUAAUUUCAGCUUGCUGCUUCUGUAACUUAUACUGUAUGCCAUUAGAUAGCUUUGAAAUAAGACUAUGAAAAAUUUGUACUCAACCAUAACGUUUUCCCUUUUUUUCAUUUUGUGUUGGGGAGGAAUUUCUUUCUUACAAGUAGUUUUUCAUAUAUAUCAGUUUUGAAUGUAAAGAAGAUGCUAGGGUCAAAUGAAAACUUUGGAACCUUGUGAUUGCUAGGAGUUAAAAGAUAGGCUUAACGCUCCAGAAUUUCUUCUGAUUACUCAAAAGGUCUAUUAGAAUGAUUGCAAUAGGCUCCAUUCGAGUUAUGCUUGUGUUGAGUUCAGAAAUUGGUAUUAAUGGAUUUUAUUCGACCCAUUUAUUGAACAAGUGACACAACAUAUUUAAUAUUCGGGUUGAACUAUCCGACUACUUCAACACCAUCCAUAUUAUUGACUUACACUAUUUUAAAUGCUUCACACGGCAGAGUUUAUGAAUGUGUCCGGACUUGCUUAGAUCAACUUUGUUAUGGUGAAUUCAUAUAUCUAGGUCUAUACUGAAAAUAUUCAGAAGAAAAUCUUCUCACUAAUGUGCAUGAGAGAACUAGAAGGAAAGGGAUGAAGUUGAAAGGUAACAUGUAUUACACCAAUACAAACCCAAAAGCUGGACAUUAUCAUCAAAUUGGGCUUCAAAAAUUUGUUCCGAAAAAUUGGGCUGAACUUGCAUGCGUCCACAAAUUUCUAGGAUUGUGUGGGAGCAAAUGAUUUUACACCAAGGGGCUUGGACAGCUAAUAGGCUUUGACUUACAUGCUGGAGAAAUCUCGAGGGGAACUAAAUCUUAAACAUUGUUUUAUAAUUUUCAUGUGCCUCCAUGCCCAAUUUAUUGAACCAAUUUGUAGAAUUAAAUGCCAGAUCUGAUCUUCCGUAGUACUACCAGGCCAUAUGCUAGCUAGCACUCCUACUGCUUUUAAUUUAAUUCCAUAAUUUGUGUGCAUGUGUGUCUGCCCAUAGACCAAAGUGUGAAUGCGAGCAUUUGUUGCAAAUUUUCAGCUGCUACUACUGCCAUUGGUUUUGCAAUUUUUGAGUUCUUUUUGGGUAUACAGAAUCCAAGAAAGACAUCCUGUCAAAUGAAGGACAACAGCUUCAUCUUUACAAGUGUUAUCUUUGUUUUUUUAUUAAUUUCUGCUGUUGAAACGGUCACAUGGGCUCAAACUCGAUACAAAAGUAAUACGGUUGUGAAGAUUUUGACUUGUAUUGGUUUGAAAUUGAGAAUGAACAAAAAGAAUUCAAACAAGUGGUCUAGUAGAUUUAGUCAAUACAACGUUGUGUACCAUCUAUACACUAAAUAUAUAUGGCUUGAAGUACCUUACAUUAUUAUUAUAUAAUUGACAUAAUUUUUUCACAACCAUUUAAUGAAAAUUUAACGGUUAUGAAAAUAUAAAGUAAUUAAAUCAUAUUAUUUCCACAAUCAUUGAAUUUUCAUCAAACGGCUGUUGAAGAAUUAUAUACCUUACAUAAUAAUGUAAGGUAACUAGCUCAAUAUAUAUAUUAAGUUAAAUUUGUGUUUUUUUGAAGGUGCAGAUGUUAUAAUAUUGUUAAGUAUUUAUGUGACGUUAAAUUCAAAUGUCUCAAAUUCAUUAGUACUACUUAAUUAUAUUCGUCUCAUUAAGAGUAUGUGCUACUCUAAAAAAAUGUUAACAAUUGAACUAAUUAAUACCUACGAGUGAAUAUUUUUUAUGGGCAUUUGUACUUGUUGAUCAAAUUUUUUGCAUCCCUAAAAGUUAGUACGAGAGUGGGAUUGAUAAUUAUUAAGUAACACACAAAAAUAGCCACUCGGCCUUUGGCCGAGUGGUGAGAGCUGCUGCUCUCCAACUUGGAGAGCAGCAGUUCGAACCCCCACAAUGCAUGUGGGGGUGUUUUCUUCCUCAAAUAAAAUUGAGUGAAGACAGUCUGCUUCCUUGCCCCAGUGCGAGGAGUAGACAUCCCUCGAAUAUUUGAGAGGGUUAAAAUCUGGGCAGCGCUCCAUUAGCAUUAAUGUAUGUUGAUCCCGGUUAUAGUCUGAUUUGUACAUAUCAGUUAUAUUCUCAUAUAAUAUGAGUUGUAAUCUGAGCAAUAGUCUCAUGUAAUCAAAAAAAAAAAAAAGUAACACACAAAAAUAACCGACACAUAAAAUGAAGUGUGACGUGUGAGAAAGGGAGAAAGAGAAGUGUUUGAUGCUAUAAUAUAUGUAAAUCUGAGCAAUCAAAUGAUCAAGGAAGCAUCCUCUUUUCAAGUUUGUGAAGAUCAACCAUGCACAUUUAAUAAUACGAUACCAAAAAAAAAAAAAUUGUUAAUGCUAAUGCUAUCCAUUUGGAGGAGCAGAUGGUUGGUGGGUUUAAUUUAAUUGUAAUAUAUGCAUGUAAAGAUCGAUGCCAGCUUUCUCAGUAGGUAUGGUUUUAUCAGGAAUGAGUGUUGACCUUAGCUAUAUGUCUUCUUUAAUUGAAGCCUGCGCUUGAACUUGAAGCAAAACAUAUUUGCUUGUGAAACCUUUCAACCGCCGUACGUUCUGAUUUCCCACCAAAUUUAGGUUAGAAAAAUCAGUUGUUGGGUAAAAUAAAUCCAGUGAUCAAAAUUAAAAGCAUAUGAUAUAUGAUAAGAUUUUCAUCUCUUUUAAGACCCUCGACACCGAGAAUCUCUCUUAACGUGUAUCUUUAACUUAUAUAUAAUACAUUAGUUAACAUAAUUUGUUCAAGCAUGGCUAGAAAAUUUGAAACUCAAGCUUAGAAAUUAAACAAUCAUGUGAUAGGCCACAUGCUUCCCUAAUUGUAUGAUCGUUUUGUUUUUCCAUUAUUUGUAGUUGACGAGGCUGGUGGGUUUUCCUUGGAUCCAUAUUAUGAUUAAUUGCCCUGAUUAGAAACAUUAUUAGCAUUUUUAUUUAGCAAAGUACUAAACAUGUUUCUGUUUUUUGCUUCAUAUAUAAGGUACCUAUAGUGCAUUUAUAUUUCUCCAAUUAUUUUUCUGUUCAUGUUGCAAGUGGGCUUACAAUUAGAUUCUUGUAGCGAGUUACAAAGCCUAAUCUAUGUACCAGAAUUCAGAAACAUGAUAAUUAUACAGCAUUUUUAUUAACAUGUACAACUGAAGAUAAAGAAAACAUGUUUCUGUUUUUUGUUCAAUUUUGUAUAGCUGUUGGUGUCAUCUCAUCAUUCAACCCCUUUGGUCACUGUGUUCAUACAUGCAUGCAUAAUUUUGAUGAUAAAUCAAAUGAAACGAAAACAUGAAAUAAGAGAAACAUGCGUGCCGAUAUAAUUUGAUCAAUUCAACUACUAAAUGUGCUUUCUGCAACAAAUUAAUUGUUUUAAAUGUUUCACCUCUGGCAUGCACUUAAAUUAAUUGGUUUUUAUACUUCACCUUCUUGACCUUUUUUACAAUUAACAAAGUCAACACCAUUUUAGAUUCAAUAAGUACUCAGUAUGAAAAUUAAUUGAUUCUGCAACGAGCUACUUGUUUUAAAUAAUUAAGUUGAACAAAAUGUCAAACACUUGUACAAAAAGAGGAAGUCAAAAGCUUGUUGGUGGAGAAAGACUAGCAAAGCAUUUUCAUGCCGAUUUGUACUUUAAUAGUAGUUUAAUGGUGAUUUCGUGCUCAUAAUAAUGUUGAAAGCAGUAGUUCGAGCUAGUAUCUUAAUAGAAAUAUUAUGAACCAUAUUAUAAAUGUAUAUAUUUAUGCUGCAUUUACUAAAUUGGAAUCGGAAUGAGCUGGAAUGGGAAUGGGUAAGAAUGGGAAUAAGGAAUGUGAAUCAAAAUAAGUUGUUUACUUGAACUGUAGGAAUCGAAAUCGGAUUGAACUGAAUUAUCAUUAAUGUGUUUAUUUUGUCUUGGAAUCGGAAUGAAUUAGAUUGUAACAAAUUACUAAAAAGUACUUAAUGAAUUAUUGUCAUAAUUAUUAUUAACUAAUAUAUUAAUUAAUUGUAAAAUUUUUAAUUAAUUAUAAUAACUAUAUUAAAAAUUAUUAUAAAAAUAUAUUAACUAAUAAUAUUAAUAUUAAUUACUUAAUUAAAAUAAUAUAUUAAUAUAAUUACUGUAAUAGCAUAUUAAUUAAUCAACUAUAAUAAUAAUAUAUUAAUUAUUGUGAUUAUUUAUUCAAGAACUAUAAUUUUUAAUAAUUAUAGUUAAUAAUAUAUUUAUAUAUUAAUUAAUUAAUUAUAAUAUUAUAUUAAUUAAUUAUAAAAGAGGAUAAAGUAGGCAUUUUUAAUUUUGGGGAGGACAAAAUGGUCAAUUCUAAGAAUGGGAGACUCAUUCCCACCUACCCCAUGAGAAUCAAUUUCACAUUUCCCAUUCUCAAAUAGUGCUGGGCCCCACCAUUCCCAUUCCGAUUCCGAUUCCUUCUCCAUAUUUGCGAAGUAAACACCAUCAAUCAUUCCAAUUAUGAAUUCUGAUUCCCCGAUCCGGCAAGUAAACACCAUCAAUCAUUUCGAUUCUGAAUUCUGAUUCCCCAAUCCGGCAAGUAAACACACUAUUAGAGUCUUAAUAGAUCCUAAAUUGUUACACAUUUAUAAUUUAUAACAAUUCCGAAAAAAAAAAAAGGAAAAAAAAAAACUUGUCUACAUGUCUCCACCAAUUCCCACAAAAGUAAAAUCAUUUUUCGUUUGUCAACAUCAAAAACUUGCAAGGGUAUGUUACCGAAAAGGAUAACGCAAAAACGAGGCUGACCAUUUCUUUGAUUGGAUUUUAAGAAACUUUUGCCUUCCCUUUUUUAUCUUUUGCACUUCUCUGUCUCAUGUUUUGAUAAUUGACUCGAUAUUUGCUUCAUUGACAAGCUAAACUUGGUGUGUGAGUUUUUGAGACGUCAUUUCAACAAGCUUGCUUGACAAGUUCUUAAGACUUGAAGGGGUGGGUAGUUGGUCAAUAUCUUGUUUAAUGGUUUGGUUUAUAAUAAUAGAGUAUUACUGGGUCCAUUUUCUUAUGAAUACAUCAAGUGCUCGCACCACAUUAUUAAAUCAAUUAAUAUACAUCUAAUAACUAAAAUUUUGGCAAUAUAUGCAUUGGGAGUAAAUAAAUUCAUCAAAUAAAGAUGGGAUAAUUCUUUCCUAAUAAUUAAAAUUUAGACGCACCUACGUUGAAUAAGGUGUAUAUUAUACCGUCACAAUCUUACGAUUUACUUAUUAAUAAUAUUGGUAACGAUUUUAUUGUUAUAUUUACAACCCAUGUCUUAAUUUAAAAUGUUAUACAUAAAAUUUAUAAAAGUAUAUAUAAUGGUAAAGUUAUUACUAGUCAUAAAAAAAAUUAUUUUUGAAUAAAGAAAAACUUGUGGUGGGUGCAACAUACGUAUAUAUGAUGCAAUGUAAUAUAGACCUAUCCAAGAUCAAACUACCUUGGUAUGGCGUGGCAUCACUCAAUGUAUAAUAUAUAAAAACAGAGAGGUCUCACUCAAUAUCUCAGUGGCUUUCACUUUCAAUUUAAAAUUUUUUUUAAUUAAAUGCUUAUGCUGAAUUUAUUUUGUGAGUGCAGCAAAAGCAAAGCAAAGCAUAGCGAAGGUCAAUGCAUGGCAUGGCAAAUGGCCACUCUUAACGCGCAAACCCACCACCGAACCGAAGCGACAGAAUUAGUGAAGUCAGAUUUCUAGGUUUUAAAUUAAUAUGCAUCAGCCACCGUCCGUCGCGUCUUGGGGAAACAAAUGGACGGUGAUGGGCAGCUCCUAUGAUGUUGAUGGCCUUUGAUUCGGCCUUUUCUUUUUCUUCCGUGGGCCAUGUGUCGGUCUCUUUCAUAUUUCAAAGGAUUCUCCGCCGGACCGAGUUUUCUCGCCAUUUCUUGCUCAAAACUUCAACCCUUUUGACCCUUCAAAGGCGUUUUCGUUCUUGUUUUUGUUUUUCUAGUUUGCGUGGAUUCACAGUCAGCUAUAGUUAAAUUCGAAAGUGGUGAUUUCAACAACACACAAUAAAUAUUGGACGAUCGAUAAAUUUUUCAAAUGUUUACACUGAUCAUUUCGUUCGUUUACGCAUACGGCAUAUCUAUUUAUAUGAAAAUGAAUUCCAACCUACAAUUCUGAUAGAUUUAUAGCGUGACCCCGUGUUUAUACGUUUUACAAGUGUGACGUUUUUUAUACUUUUUAUAUUUUAUCGGUAUCCAUUUUUGAAUUUGAAUGUUAUAAGUUCGACAACCCCCACUUAAACGAGCCAACCAUACGGUAAGAAAAUCGAGUCCAUGUUGCAUUUAAUAAUGGUCUCAGCUCUCAACUCAACCUAAUAUGAUAACACUUCGUCGCCAUUGACUCCACGAGAAACGUUUUCUUGCUCUAAUUUGUUGUCGCUCUUGUUGAAAAAUGAAGCUUCUAUUAAUGCCUUGGAAAUGUGGGAGCCAGCCAGCUAGCUAGCAAGAGUUGGCAUCAAGGACUAGGAUUAGAAAAUACAAGUAACAUAAAAAAGAAAAUUUAAAAAAAAAAAAAAAAAAACAGGGUGGCAAUAUAUUUUGUGUGGUCCAAGGUCCAGUCGUGAUAUAAUUAGUUCAAAGAUAUGGUUUUGGUUAGAGUAAUUAAAAAGAUGUGAAGAUUUGGGCCAACUUAGAACAUGACUUUUUUUUAUUAUUGUUAAAUGCUUAUUACCAUGUGCAAUUACCCAAAAAAAAAAAUUGUUACCAUGACCCCCAAAAAAAAAUUGAACAUAACUAAUACUUUUAUAUAAAAUGUAAUCUACUUUUUUGGCCAUCAAUAGUUUCUUAUCGAUUGUGUGAGGAUAUGAUAUUAUGAUAUCAAUUUGAAUUCUGAUCCUCGUUGAUCUCAACUAAUGAUCUUUGCAAUAGUUUUGUUAGGAAAUGAUUUUUCUCAAAGCCUCUUUUUCUCAAAUCGUGAAUACUCGCUCUUUUGCCUUUUUCCAAAAUAAUAAUAAUAAUAAAAGGAAAAAUAAAAUUUAAUUUACUCCAUAAAAGUGUAAAAGCAUCAAUAUAUUCCUAUCUAAUGUUAAGGAGAUUAAAAAAAUAAAAAUUAUCAACACACACUUCAUUUACCAUCAUCUCUCGAAUAAAAAUAAAGAUGAAUUAAAAAUUUUUACACUUUUGAAUGUCAUUCUAUCUAAAACUGAAUUAAAGUUUACUCCAUUGCUAAUUACAUAAAGACCAACAAAUAAAAAUGUUGAAAAGGCAAAUCCGACUGGCGUCAACAAGUCAACCGUUAACGCUGACUUUUUUCAAUCGGUCUUUUCGUCAGCGCAUUUGUAUUCCGUGCACCGCAACUGCACGCCAUACGGUGCACAUGCGCUUCACUGACGUCGGUGCUGCUGCUGCGAAAAGCAAAAGCGCGUCUUCGGUCACUCGGAUUUUGUCACACCUACACAGCUGGCAUUAUUUAAUUCGCCAGCGUGCUCUCCAGCUCUGCCGGGCGGUUAUGCUAUCACUUUUGUGUCUUAACCAUACGACACGUCGUAUGUUUCUAUUAAAGCUUUGAAUUUUGAGCUUCAUUAAUACGCAAAUACCCAUCUUUAUUGUCUGUAUUAGAAGCAUCACUAGUGAUGUUGAAAUUUGCUGUAUUUACAAGGUUGGCAUUUUCUUUUAAGAUUAUAUAUUUUUAGAAAAUAAAAGAGACUCAAAAUUUAUUCAAUAAUAAUAUAAUAUAUGAUAUAUAAUGUUAUUUUUUUCUUUUUUUUUUAAUAUAAAAAGAUACAAAUUACAUCAUACUAAUUUGAUCAUCUGUACGUUUCGAAAAUUCGUUUCUUUAACAUGUUAUACAACUUUCGAACGUCAAAAAUCAUAUGCAACGUAUUGAAAAAUAUAUUAAGACGUACAACAUUUUUAAACUCCAUACUAAUCCUCAAUCUUGAUCAUGAAUUAAAAUAUUAAUAGCAUUUGCAUCAAAUCUAAUCAAAGAACACCAAUAUAAUUUUCCGCUUGUUUCAAGGGAUUUGAGUGUCUGUGUGUUAGGUCCGUUUUGUAUCACAAAUAACGGGCAAUGCCACGUGGUUGAAUUGACAGUUGACACGUGGACAUAGAUGAUACCUAAGCCCCACAAUUCUUCUUCUACAUAGUACGGUGCAAAGUACCCAUCUCUAAAUAUUGCAUGGAGAUCUGAAAUUGACAGUUGUAAGUGACAAGGUUAUGUCUUAAUUUUUUUUUUUAAUUUAUUGUUCUUUACAUUUAAAAGCUAAAUAUUUCCUUAAAAUAAUUUGCUUUCUCCAGUUUGACUUUGAUGUGCUUCAAAUUUCAAUUCAAAAAAAAAAAAAAAGAUCAUAGAUUUUGAGGGAUUCUAUCCCACAAUUUAUAUGAAGUAUAAUUUUCUUUUAUUUUCCACUAUACAUUUAAAUAAUUUAUUAAAAAAAUUCUAUUUUUUUUUUAUAACAUAUCGUAUAAAUUAAGAUCCGUGAUUAAAAUUUGAGACUCGUAAUGAUAAAUUUGAAAUGCGUAUGGAAAGUUAGAAAAGUUUAUAUUAACAACACAUGUUUCGUACAGUAGUUGCCCUAACCCUAGAUUAUAUGCUAGGUUCUUUUCUUUUCUUUUCUUCCAUGGGCAAAAGUGAGGUGGCAAUGGGGAUUCUUACUAAUAUUUUAGAGGCGAGAUAUCUUGAAUGGCGAUAUUAUUCUUUACCCAGGAUAAAUCAAGGAAAUAAAAACAGAAACAUUUGUUGGCAUUCUUAGAUUAUGGUCAAAAUGCAACGGUUUGAUUACAUUAUUUGCUUUUAUUUUAGAGGUGAUAUUAUCUUUAAUUAAAGAUUUUAUUCUAUGCUUUAGAUAAAUUAACUAAAAAAAAAAAAAAAACAAUGUGUUGGCAUCCAUAGAUUAUGGCCAGAAUAUCAUAAUGAUAUUUAGACUACUCCAUUGUUAAUUUGCUUAAUUAGUUGUCUUCUGUAAGUCACGUAGCAUAUAUAAAAUAAAUGGCUGCAUAACAUUGUUAUUUCAUUGAUUUUAAGUUGCGAUAUUGUGAUUAGUAAGAUUGAGGUUAGUCUUAACCCAUAUUUAGUUAGGCCAUUAGAAAUCGAUUACUUUAUAAUUUCAUGUGAUAAUUAAUCAUAUUAUUUUCCGGUAAUUAGUACCAUCUCUCGGACCCUAUAGAGUGUAUACAUAGUACCUUUACUAUUCAACCAAUACAUAGUCUCAUUCGAUAUAAAGUUGUCUACUUAAUUAUUUCUUUAUAAAUAGACGGCACCUCUUCUCGUGGUUGGUUCACAUUCAAUUGGAUAUAAUUGAUUGCUUUGAAACAUAAAAAAGGAACAAUAGCAAAUUAAAAAAAAAAAGAAAAAGAAACAAAGCUAUCCUCAUUUCAUGAUUCAUUGACUAAGGUGGAUAUUUAAUAUUUUUUAACUUUUUUUCCUCAUCACGAAUCAACCCUUUGUCUAACUUUUCUCUAUCAAGAAUCCAUAAAAGAAUCUAUGAAGUAAGCUGCCAAGUAACCAAAAAUCUUUUAAUAAUACUUCCGACACAUAAAUUAUUUUUAUACUCAAAUAAUUUUUUUUUUUUCAUUUGGUGCAAACACUAAUUAAAUUUCUAAGUACGCGUAUAAUUUACUUUACAUGUAUACACAGUUAAAUUUAAUCCAUAUUAUGUGUACUACAUAUAUAAUCAUGGUAUGUAUGUUAAUUAUUUGAAUGCAAGAAAAUUAAGAAGUCUUAAUCAUGGUAUGUAUGUUAAUUACACCAUACAAUUAAUGAAGCUGACUAUCGAAUUUUUACUGUCCUUUGUUAUUUAAACUGUUAUAAAAAUAAUAAUAAUAAAAUAUUAAAGAAAAAUACACACAUAGGACACUCCAAAAUAUUCUAAAAUUAAUGCACAAUUAAAUAAAAAUUGAUUGUAUACACCUACCUAUUUUGGGAUUUAUUCGGGAUUAGUUAAUUAAGCAGCUAGUGCAAGGCAUUGUACCCCAAAAUGUGACCUACACCAAAAAUGCAUGCAUCCAAACACAACCCACCAAAUAUCAAUCACAUCAAUAUUGUUGUGUAAUUAAUAUACGCUUAGACAAAUAAUAUUAUUGUAUUAAAUUCUAGUAAUUACCUUAAUCAAGUGCUUAUUAACAUUAACAAGAGACAAGCUUUUGACUUAUUAAAUAUGAACCUUUUGUUACAUCUCUCUGUAAGAUACUCUAAGUCAGCUUGUGGGUCUUUAGUGAAAAAUGCACCGAAGUUUCAAUGGCUUUGAACUUUCAAUUUCACAAAUUCUUUUCUUUUAUCAUAUCAAUCUACAUCGCUCCACGUGUACAAGCCCAUCAUCAAAACAACUCAACUAAUUAAAUUAAUCCUCAUUUAGAAAAUAAAAACUUCUAAAUAUCCCAGAAAGUUGGUAAAUCGGUAGAAUCAUAUAUAUAUUUUUUUCGUUUUAUUGAUUGUUAAGCUUAUUAUAGUAUACUUAAAGAGUUGUCCCCAUUAACUUAAUUGAACAAUUUUUUAGUAGUUUCUAAUUUUGAAAGGGGUAAAGAAUUAAGAAAUUGAUCUAAAUUUUGCCUGCCCUCUACUUUUCAAAAAACAUGAAAAAAACAAAAAUUUUGACUUAAUUUUAAUUAAGCUUAAGAUUAAAAGCUUCCAAGUUAAGCUACCGUGCUGUUUACUCUUAGACGCUAGGAAUAUCCUAUGACAUAAGCCAUUGCGAUAAAUUAAGAUUAAGUCAACUAAUCUCACUUGACCAACGACUAGUGAAAAAUUCAACUUGUACUUUUUCAAGAAAAUUUAAUAUUAAUUACUUUCCAAGAAAAUAUUCUAUCUAUUAUCUAACUUUUACUUGACCAAGAAUACAAACAAUUACGUACAUUAAAUUUUUAGCUACACAAACUACCUUCGUGUUUAGCAUUAAUUCCUCAAUUGAUGAGAAAUUUCUCAUACCUACUUUCAAUAAAAUCUAUAUAAAUUCUAAAUAUGAAAAAUUAGUAAUACAGAAAAUCUACAUACGUAGCAAUCUUUGAAGUCUAAUUACUCAUAAUUGAAAACUAAUAAUCUGGUAAGCAACGAUGAUUGCUUUAUGAGGAACAACUACUAUUUGGUUAAUUCAAAACUUCAACUUGAGUCAUAAGAUAUUACUGAAUUAUGUUAUAUACGCACAUAUUUGUAUAAAUUAAUAAUUGUCUUAAAAAGGGUCGAGAAUCCCAAAUAAAAGUAAAAUUUUAUGAUAAAGUAUUUAAUAAAAUGACCAAUCAAUUAAUUAUACUUUUUUGUUUUAUAUAAACAGAGAUGAAUAUAAUUUCUUACUUCCCAUGAAUCAAAUAAAUAAAAAAGUUUUAUAAAAUUAUUUGUGAUGGGUCAAAAAAUAUAUUAUGGGGAUUAUUACACACAGUCCACUCCACGUGUUUAGAAAAAGAAAACACUUUUUUUUUUUUUCUUUUUCUUUCCCUGCUUCUUCGUGUGUGUUGUGUCCGAAGCUGGGACUCACAUCAGUUUAUUUGUCCCUCUAUAUAACUCUUUUCUCUCGAUCAAAAUACAAUGACGAGGUUACCAACGGUAUCUUUCUAACAUACAAGCUUGAAAAGCUCAAACUCAGCUUCUGUUUUUAGAAAGAGGGAAAAAAAAAAAAAGGAAAAAUAUCCAAAAUCUUCACCCUUUAGACUCGGAAUCCAUUUGCCAUUUAUAAGUUACAAGCCAUCCUCAAUUCAAGGUAAUGCAUGCAGCAACGCAAAAUACCAUUUUUUGUUUCUUUUUCUUGCUUGGUGUUUUCUGUUGUGUUUUGCUUCAUGGAGAGUUGCUGCAAAUGGUGAAUAUGUCUUCUUUCUUUUAUUGAAUUAUUGCAUUUGUUUGUUGGGUUCUUGGUGAUGUUUUUUGAAGAGGUUCGCUUUGGUUUUUUGUUUAUGAUUCAUCUUUUAUGGUAAUUCAUUUGUUCUUUUCGUAAAAAAAUUUGAUUUGAUUAAUGGGUUCUUCUAGAUCUUUGCUGUUUGUUGAUGGUUUUGUUUCAUCAAAUUAAGUUUGCAUGUCAGCAUUAUUGCAUGAAUAUUCUCCAUUUUCACACAUCCAUUUCGUUGUUUAAUGACAGUAAUUGCAUUUUUGAGUAACAAAAUAGAUUUUAUGGAUUCGGUUUUGUUUCUUCAUUGAUUUUUCAUAUGAAAAAUUGAUCUAGUGUUUGGUAGCUGGAAAAUUUUUCCUUUUUGGUUUACAUGUUUCAUUGGCAUACGAGUCAUUUGACGUAUUGUUGGUUUGUUUGAACAGGAAUCUAAAACAAAUAAGUGCUGAUGGGAGUUUCAGUUUCGUGCCCAUUUGCGGAAUACAGUGAUGUGGAAAGUGGUUUAGAAUCAGUCAUUGUAAAGUCCAUUUGCUUUGGAGAUGAGGAAGUGAAGACGCCGGUUCGAUCUGUGAGCUUCAAUAGUCAAGAUUUGGAACCAACAAUAUUGAAAUCCUUAGGUUGUGGGAAAAUGGUGAAAGAAAGAUCGGUUAGUUUUAAAGAAUGUGAGUUGGAGGCAAUGAUCUCUCGAACAUCAUCUUUAUCAUCAGACAAAGAAAAGGAUGAGUCCAUUAGAUCAAUCAGAAUAAAGGUAAACGAAAUGGAUAAUCAAUCUCCAAGGUCAGAAGAUUCUAUGGAGACAAUCCAACAAUUUCCGAUUUUGGAUCCCAAUAACCCCAAGCAUGAAGCUGCAAUAAAAUUGCAGAAAGUAUACAAAAGCUUCCGAACAAGGAGAAAGCUAGCUGAUUGUGCAGUUAUUGUUGAGCAGAGCUGGUGUGUAUUAUUUGUUGAUAUUGCAGGUAUUGUUCACAAAGUUCUAUAUGUUUUUAGCUUGUUCUAAUGCAACAACCUGUAUUGUUCUAGGUGGAAGCUCUUAGAUUUCGCUGAACUCAAGCGAAGUUCUAUAUCGUUCUUUGAUAUAGAGAAAAAUGAAACUGCCAUUUCACGUUGGUCAAGGGCCAGGACCAGAGCUGCUAAGGUAACUUUCAAACUCAUAGAUAUAUGAUUUUGUGUAAGGAAGCAUUUUUUUGUUUCUGGUAUCUAAUUGUUUUCCUUGAUUUUGUAGGUUGGAAAAGGUUUAUCAAAGAAUGACAGAGCACAAAAACUUGCCUUACAACACUGGCUCGAAGCAGUAAGUCAUUUGGAUAAUUCAAACUUUAUUAGCAAACGGAUUUAGUAUGUAUAAUCACUUCUACAUUUUCUGUUGCUGAUUUAAAAGCUUUGUUUCUAAUGUUAAACAGAUUGACCCACGGCAUCGUUAUGGACAUAAUCUACACUUCUAUUAUGAUAAAUGGCUUCAUAGUCAUAGUAGAGAACCCUUCUUUUACUGGUAAGACACUUUAACUGAAACCUUUUUGCUUCACCGAUUUGAAUUAUGUGACGGUUUUAAGUUAAUGGUAGAUUCACUGGUUUGAAAUUCAGGGUCGAUAUAGGGGAAGGGAGGGAAGUAAAUCUUGUUGAUAAAUGCCCUCGAUGGAAGCUUCAUCAGCAGUGCAUCAAGUAUCUUGGUCCGGUAAGCCUCUAUUUCUUUCCUUGGUCAUCCUUUAUCCUAAAUUUUUUAUAGCUUAAAACUUUACUUAUAAAUUGCUUUUGAUCUACAGAUGGAAAGAAAGCCUUAUGAAGUUAUCGUGAAGGACGGAAAAUUCUUUUACAAGCAGUCAGGGUUGAUCCUCGACACAAAUGUGGAUAUUGAUUCUAAGUGGAUCUUUGUCCUAAGCACAACAAAAUCCUUGUAUGUUGGCAAAAAAAGAAAAGGAACAUUUCAGCAUUCCAGCUUCUUGGCUGGAGGAGCCACAACGGCUGCCGGGAGAUUAGUUGUUGAAAGUGGCGUCCUUAAGGUAAUCUUUUUUUUUUUUUUGGUUAUUUUAUCUCAACUUUGUGUUUCUUGAACUUAUUGUCUUUAAUUAUCAAGAUAGUGUCUUUUGAUGACUUUUUUUUUUUCCCCUGCUUUUCAACAGGCAGUUUGGCCUCACAGUGGUCAUUAUCGCCCUACAGAACAAAACUUCAAUGACUUUAUCUCAUUCCUUAAAGAGAACAAUGUUGAUCUCACAGAUGUCAAGGUAAAAAUAUAAAGAUACGAAUUCUUUUGUAAGUUUCUCGAUAGAGGGAAGUAAAAGAGCUUUUUCUGACAAUGCGUUCAUUCUGAUGUAAGCAGAUGAGUCCAGUAGAUGCAGAAGAAGCCUCAGAUGGUAAACAAAGAAAUAGUAUGCACAUUAGGAACCACUCAUCUGAUGAGGACUUGGUUCAGGCCCUUGACGAAUUAGAGACUGAAGAGAACAAUGUCGAAGACUUGAGUCAAGACAAAACUGAUUCAACAAAACACGAAACUACUCCUUCGAAAGGACUUCAAAAGUUGGACAGUUUCCAGAAGUUUAGUAUGAAAUUGCCUAGUAUUGAAGUACAAAAAAGGAGUGAGCUUUUAGAAAGACCAGAGAGUAACAUUCCAGCUUUUAAGCCGAGUAGCAACAACCCAUCAGUAGAAUCUCAAAUGAAUGUUCCUGGUUCUGUAGAAGGAGCAUAUGUUUCUAAACCAGAAAUCAAAAAUUCAAAGCAAGAGUUGUCAAAUGACGAAGAUGCAGAAAAUGAAGUAGAACCAGUUCCUGAAGAAGCAAUUCUCCAAAGGAUAAAUUCGCGUAAAGGAAUGAAGUCAUAUCAGUUGGGGAAGCAGUUGUCCUGCAAAUGGACAACGGGAGCAGGUCCCCGCAUUGGCUGUGUAAGGGACUAUCCCUGUCAACUCCAGUUCCGAGCUUUGGAGCAGUUAAACUUGUCUCCAACAAGUGCUGGCUAUAGUAGAUCUAGGUCGUCUCCUCACACAAUCGGUAGAUAUAACCCACUGAUGCCCUCACCACUGCAUCCUCACAUGAAAAUGGAAGCAACUGUAAGCUUACCCGUGCCCGGGAAAGGAAAUUCAUUAAUUGAAGCCGUUCGCCUUUGUAGAACCCAGUCCUCCCCAUUAGAAGAUCAGUAGAUGCUGUAGAAUCACAUCCUAAAUGACCAGUUCUUUUGUGUGAAUAGAGAAGUUGGUAGGAAUUCUUUACGUUCUUUCAAAUUAAAUUCAUGUACACUUUUUUUUUUUUCCCCCAAAGUGUUGUUUAACAUAUACAUCAAAAUAAAAAAAAAAAUCUGUAAAAUUUUUAAUUUUGUGGCUUUAAUGCCUUUUCAAUACAAAAGAAAAUAUUCAUUCUUUAUUUUCUGAUGUUCUAAUUGCCGCUAAGACAUUUAAUAUAGGGUUUGCAGAAACUUUUGCUGCAAGGAAAUUGCCUAAAGCAGAGUAUGAAUCAUUUCAGAAAAUUAUCUCAACUCACAGACGAGAGUGAAAGUUCUGUGUUGAGGUCUAGAAGCUGAAGUUUCUUUUCGAUUAUAUAUAUAUAUAUAUUUCAUUUUAUAAAUUUUAUCAAAAGCCUGUCCAAUCUCCAUGGGGCCGUCAAGUGCUCGAGAUUCUGACUGUGUCUCCAAAAAUCAAUUGGACGACGACUGAACUGGACUCAGAUGGGAAUUUUGGAGAAACUAUUGUUAACAUAUUUGAUUGAAUAAAUGGGAAGUGUAAAUAUUUUGAACAAGAAAAGUGGGAUGCUAUAAACCAUCAAUGGAAUGAAUCCAAAGAGCUCAAACACAAGGACAAGCUGCAAGAAUGGCCGAUAUUGUUCAGUUUUCAAGUGCAUGUCAGGUUGUUCAAUAACACCACCAGUGCCUGGUGGCUUUGUCUUUUGGCAUGGCACCAAAUUCAGAAAGCUUUUAUUUUGCAUUCAAUUCCAAAAUGAGAAAAAGUUAAAGAUGGCCCUCCACUACCAUUUGUUUUGUUGGUUUCACUUUCACCUUUACAGAGGUGUAGUAUCAUUUUUAGCCUCUACUAAAUAGUUUGAAGCACCUUAAUGAUUUGAAAAAUUAGGUAACGUUACGAAGCAAAUUUGCAUGAGUUUAUUUUCAGAUAAGCUAUCAAUAUUGGUUUGAUUUACUCCCCAAGUACGAAUGAGGCUGCCAAAUUGAAAAUUAGCAUAAUUUUUGUUGGUAUUUUAUGUUAUAAAGCACAAUUAUUAUCCCGAGUUGAUGAUAAAAACAAAUAGAAAUGCCAUAAAUUGAUAUUUAAAUUUUAAUAUUGAAUAGUUGAGUUAGGUACCGGAGGGAAAACUCUUGAUAGAAUGCAGGAUUCAGGAAGAAAAUCAACUCAUAAACUUAAAUUUUUAGUUUUAUUGAAGUUUAUUUAUUUCAAGAUUGUAAAAAUUUACACACAAUAUUCAGGAUGAUUUAUUUAUUUAUUUAUUUUCUUUGCUGUUAAUUUAGAAAAUGAAUUGCAGCAAGAAUAUAUAUCUAUAUAUUUUCAAGCUUACAAAAUUAAUAUCAUCUAUAUCUUUUGGGAUAAAAAUUCUCUAUACUAAUUAUUAUUCCAUAAACAUUGUUGCAGCAUGGCUACAUAAUUGCCACAUUACAAGCUCAGUGAGUAGAGUUUGGAUAAAUUAUUGGAUCUCAUUCAUCUUGUAUUUACUAAUUAAUAAUCAGAAUGAAAUGGACGGGAAUCCAAAUCAUGAAUGAAAAUAAGAAUAAAUUGUUUAUUUGAGUUACAAAAAUAGGAUUGAGAAUCGGAAUGAGCUUAAUUUCUAUUGAUGUGUUUACUUUGUCCUAAAAUCGGAAUGAACUAUUUUAAUUUACUAAUAUACUCCUUGUUAAUUAUUGUUAUUUGAUGAUGAUGAUAAUAAUAAUAAUAAGUAAUAGUAAUAAUUAAAAAAUUAAUAACAACAACAAUGACAAUAAUAAAUUUUAUAAUAAUAAAAAUAAAAAUAACAACUAAAAUAGUAAUUAAUAAUAAUAAUAAUAACAUUAUUAAAUUUACAUUUAUUAUAAUAAUAACUAAAAUAGAAAUAAUUAAUAAUAAUAACAACUGCAUUAAUAAAUAAAUGCGGGGACAAUUGGUGACGAGGGGCGCGACUCCGAUCCGCCGGUGACGAGCUGCUAUGAUACGUGGACGACGACGAGUGCAUGACGUAGGAAGAAACGGCAACGACGAGCGCGAGCACGAACAGCUGUGAUGUGGAAAACGAGCACGAGCAGCUGUGAUGUCAGCGACAGCACGUGCAACAUCGAUGAUGAGUACGAUCAUUUUCCUUUGGGCAGCGGCUGCUUGCUUAGGUUUUCAUUUUUUUUUUUUCAAAAUUUCCAGAGAGGGUAUUUUGGGGAUAUUGGAGUUGUAGCGGGGGGAUAAUUUCGUCAUUUUAAGGAAUACGGUUCUAAUUUCUCCUGGUCCAAAAUUUAUGUGGACCCAUCCUCAAUUUAACAAAUAAAUAAGUUAUUUAUUCUGAUUCCCUAUCUUUAUUCCGGAUUGCUAAAUAUAGCAUCAAUCUUUCCCAGCUAAAUAAUUAUAUCAAGUUAAUUUUUUUUUUCUUUCAGUAUAAAGUGCAGAACAUCAUUAAAAUUUGAAAAAAGAUCAGCAUGAUUUUCAAAUUUAUCUAUUAAAAAUCCGUAAAGUGUAGAAAGUGGAAGAAAAUAUAUGAAAAGAACCUCGGUUGCUGCAGAAAAGACAAAAAUUUUGCUGUAUCUUCUCACGUUGUAGUUCCCAAACAUUCAAAAAAUCGCUCACUUUUUAUCAAAAGUUGAACCCAAAAACAAAAAGCACUCAUUCCCUCCUCUCAUGUCUUUCUUUCCCGUGACUUUAUAUCCACCUCUCAAAUAUUCUCUUCACUGUUCACACCUCAUCUCUUUCUAGCUACUAGUGUUAACUUGCUGCUACUUACACUCACUCGCUCCCUCCCUUCUGAAUACAAGCUAAGUUUGGCACCAUUUUUUUUUGCUGCUGAAAUGUGUGAAAUUUUGCUGGCUCAGCUGAAUCCUGAGCUACCCAUCAAGCAUUUUCACGGUAAGUGUGGUAAAGUUUGCUGCUUUAGCAGGUUUAGUUCUGUUUUGGUUGUGUUUCUGUUUCUGGGUUUUGCAUUUAGUGGCAUAUGUGAUGACCUUGCUAUGGUUUCGGUACCUCUUGGUUUUGAGGUUUCUGGGUUUGAUAAAAGCAAAACUUGGGUGUCUGAAAAUGGUGUCUUUGCAUUUGGGUUCUUGGAUACUAGCUCAAAAUAUAGUGAUAGUGAUGGAUUUGUUGUGGGGAUUAGGUUUAAUUUAAAAGAUAAAGCUGCAAAUCUGCCUGUUUGGGCUAUUGGUGGUGGUCUUAGAGUUUCUGAGAACUCUACAAUUAGGCUCAAUUUGGAUGGUAGGUUGAUUUUGUUUGAAAACCCUAGUGGUUUGAUUGUUUGGAGCAGUAAUACUUCUAAUUUAGGUGUUCAAAAAGCUACUUUAUUGAACAAUGGGAACUUACUGUUAAUGGGUAGUGAAGAUAAUGUGCUUUGGGAGAGCUUUAAUAGCCCCACGAACACUCUCCUUCCUGGUCAGUCUUUCCAUUUUCCGCGGGUCUUAAGAGCGCCUUCAACAAAAUCCAUCUCUAGUUAUUACAAUUUUGUGAUACGCCGUUCUGGUGAGCUUGCUCUUGUGUGGGAAAGCAAUGUGACUUACUGGAGGACUCAUUUGAGCUCCUAUGGUGUUGCUAAGGAAGCAAGGUUUGAUUCUAUUGGUGUUUUGCGGCUUUUCGAUGCCAGUAAUAAGACGGUUUGGUCCGCGUCGAGUAAGGAUUUUGGAGACCCUUCUGUGGUCUUGAGGCAUCUUAGGAUUGAUUCAGAUGGGAAUUUGAGAAUUUACUCGUGGGACAAUGAGGCUCAUGUGUGGAGGGUAGGGUGGCAAGCAGUUCAGAACCAGUGUGAUGUGUUUGGCUUUUGUGGUUUGUACAGUGUAUGUGGGUACAAUUCCACGGCCACCGUUUGUGAUUGUCUGUCGGAGGCUUCUGUAAAUUGGGGAAAUGACCUGCCUGCGGUGGAUACAGUCAAUACUGGCUGCAGGAAAAUGGUGGAUUUGGGGAACUGCAGGUUGAAUACCAGCAUGAUGAUUCUGAAGCAGACAGUUCUUUAUGGUCUUUAUCCUCCUCUAGAUGUUGAUUUGAUGCUGAGCGAGGAAGCCUGUAAGGAGUUCUGCUCCAAUGACUCUACUUGCGUUGCAGUAACUUCAAAGAACGAUGGUUCAGGGCUUUGCACAAUCAAAAGAACAAGCUUUAUUAGUGGAUAUAGGAAACCAUCUACUCCUGCAAAUUCUUUCUUGAAAGUGUGCUUGGUCCCUCAGGCAGUUUCUGCUAGAGGUGCUAAUCCUCACAACAAUGUCAAGCCAAUUCCUAUUUCAUCUAAAGGAUUAGAUGAACGUAGUGGCGAUGGUAAAGCUUUUGUGGGAGCCAUUUCCUUGAUAAUUCUGGUGACAGUCUCAGCCUUUUUGAGCAUUGAGAUGUUUGUGUUUUGGGUUAUGUAUCGGAGACGUAAAACUAAGGCUCAAACAAGGAUCCCUUUUGGAAAAGAUGCUCAAAUGAACCCACAUUACAGUGUUCUCAUCAGAUUGUCCUAUGAAGAGGUGAGAGAGCUGACUGCAAACUUUGGGAAUCAACUCGGCCCCUCUGUUUAUAAAGGUUUACUUCCCAACAAAAUGCCAGUAAUUGCCAAGGUGAUGAACGUUGUAGCAACUGAGAAAGACUUCAGGAGGGUAGUUUCUACCUUGGGUGCAAUGCACCACCGGCAUCUUGUAUCAAUAAAGGGAUUCUGUUUUGAGUCUGAACAUGCUAUUCUUAUUUAUGAGUAUGUCCCAAAUGGCUCUCUUGAUAAUUGGUUAUUCAACAUGGAGCAGGCUCAGGUUGAAAGGAGUUGGCAGCAGAGGCUUGAUAUUGCUCUAGGAGUUGCUCGAGCCCUUGCUUAUUUGCACUUGGAAUGCCAAACUUGUGUUUCUCAUGGGAAUCUGAAGCUUGAAAAUGUCAUGCUUGAUGAAAAAUUGGUUCCUAAAGUGACAGAUUUCGGGCUUAGAAGCUUACUUGCAAAGGAGACAGCUUCUUCUUUGGAGUCCCCAUCUGAGAGAGAUAUUUACAUGUUUGGGGAAAUGUUGCUUCAAAUUGUUACAUGCAAGACAGACAUAUUAGGCAGCGAUCUGCGCGAUCUUGUUAACAAGAUCAACGGAGAACUGAAUUCAGAGGACAAUAGAGUGUCUGAAGGAGUGGAGAGAGCCCUGAGGAUAUCAUUGUGGUGUAUGCAAAGCCAACCAUUUUUACGACCUUCCAUUGGCGAAGUUGUGAAGGUAUUAGAAGGUACAUUGUCAGUAGAUAGGCCCCCAUUGAAUUUUGCUUUUAGAGAAGACCAGAUGGGUUAGAAUCUUAGCUGAGAUUUUAAGGUAGAUUCUUAGAAGAAAGUGAUUGUAAGUAACAAUCUUACUAACCAUGUCAGUUUCGACACCUCAAUUUUUAGGUAUGAGAGUCUAGAAAAUCUCCAGCAGCUCAAUGUUUUUGCAAGAUUGAGCCCGAAGAACUGUAAAAAAAAUUUGUACGAUAUAGGCACUCUUUAACUACAUUAUGCAAAAUGUUUCAAUGUUAGUGUCUUGAGCAACAUGCCCAGAUUUGUGUGCUAGUUCAAAAUUUCUUAAUUGAAUAUGCAAUGUAUGCGACUGCCAACAAGUGCACUUUAUAUCUAAAAUCAUAGCUCUAAUAUAUUAUCGUUACCGUAGUCCACAACCACACACAACCGCUAGUCCACAACUACAAUCAAACCCAUAUCUAGCAGUAUCAAAAUUUUUGGUCUAACCAGUAAGCUCAUUUAUUUUUAAGUUGUACUUUUAUCUUCGAAAUGUUUAUUUGUUAAGGUUUUGGGAGCUUGUAACUUAUGUUUAUCUUGAUGAUUAUAUAAUAAAAUAACUCUUUAGCUCGUAAUAAUAACUAAUAUAGGCAUUCAACUUUUAAAAUUCAUAGCACAUGCAUUCUCAACAGCAUAAUUUAUCAAACGCCAAACUCGGACUAUGUCCAACUGAUUAUUUUAUUAGAACAGCAAAAAUAAGAUAAGACAAAUAAUUUUGUAACCAAUAUAUUGGUUAAUUCCAAAUCAUAAUAACUGCCAUUAAUGUUGUUGGUUGCCCAAUAAUAAAUAUAGCAAUUAAUGUAAUAAAUAGUCAUCAAUCCAUAUCUUCCAGCUUCUAAUCAUCAUCAUGGAAAGUUUCCCAACUUCUGUCAUUCUUUUGAUUUUUCUCUUCAUCACUUGUAAAAUUUUCAUUAAAUCCAUGUCAUAGUUUUAAUAAUUAUUUAAUUAUGUGUUGAUGUCAAAAUCUGAUCUAAUCGGUUAGUGACUUAAUAUCAAAUUCUUACACCAGCAUUAAAUUUAUCUGGUGGAGAAUUGACUGGUCAAUUGUCAAAAUGUCUGCAACCACCAGUGAUUAACCUACGAAUACAUGAAAUCACAAAAAAAGGUAAGAGGUGCCGGAAGUUUUUCCGGAGUGAACCCUCCGACACUCAAGUUAGUUUAUGGGUUUACUAUAAUAAAAAUAAAUAAUUUCUAUUUAAAACAAAAAAUAGAGAUCAAAAGCUCAAAAAUAAAACCCAAUCCCAACAUGAAGAAUGGAUUUCUCUUUUUCUUUUUUUUUUAGCUUGUCCAAAUCCUUCUGCCUCUAAGAAAAACAUAAUAGAGAAGCAAGUAGCCCUCCUCCCUAGGUAACACCCCACUCCCCUCUUUUAUUCUCCCCCUUUCCGUUUCCUUCUUUUGCUCACUAUCCUUUAUAAUUUUUUAUGCUUUGUCUCCCCAAAAUAGCCUUUGAAUACACAAGUAAAUGUCUAGUUUACUUAAUAAUAAGUUGCUUGAGGUUUUAAGUUUGUAAAAAAUUAUAAACUCUAUAAUUUCCGGUCUUGAUUCGUUUCACUUCAACAACCCAUCAGGACUCUAGACAUCCUGAAUUCAAACAACCUCACAGGGGCUACAUAAUAAAACUUGAUGGCUUACAUUCGAAACCAUUCAGACCGAAAUGAAAAAUAAAUCCCCGGCCAUUGAAGCUAAAACGAAUGGACUGUAUAAUUCUCACAAAGAUUGUCACCUAAAUUUAUUUGUAUUUCAAAUUCAUUUACCAGACAUAUAGGCAUCUCUAUAAAAUUUGGAAAUACACACAUUGAAAGGAAACGUUCCGAUGAAAUUAAUUAUGUAAUCUUCAGAAGUAUUAUUUUUAAGAGAUUCAGUCUCGAUGGCUCAGUGGUAUCAUUUUUUAUGGGUUGCAGGAUAAUAUACGACCUCAAUUCUAAUGAUUUUGUAUUUCUUUGAGGUUCACCGUCAAAUGAAAAUUGUUUGAGUCUAUAUCGAACACCUUUUCACCAUGUAAAACCUAAAACAAACAACAUUAAACAUCAACUCAGAAACAUAUUGAGCUGUUAGUAUAAAAACAAGAGUCUUACUACAAAAAUACUAACUAAAAAGAAACACUCACCAUUAGAUUAUGCUUGUAUACUAAAUUGACUUCCAUCUUAAACCUUCCGUCAGCUUAUGAAAAUCAAAAUAAUUCUCCUGAUGGUGUACUCAUUCGACGCAAGAAUUUGGAAUCAAUAGCAGCGAUAAAAGCACAUAUAUAUAUAUACAGAGGCGAAGCUUUGAGGAGGCUAACCCGGGCUGUAGCCCGGGUUAGUUUCUUGAAAAAAAAUAUUAAUUAAUUAUACAUUGUUUUAAAAAAAACUUAUAGUAAAAUAUAAAAAUAUAACUAAUAAUUAUAGUCAAUAUCUAUUUUCUCUAAAUUGAAAAAUUAACUCAAAUCCCUAACUAAUUGAUUCAAUUAUCUAAAUUUUAAAUUCCCUAAAACUUAGUUGUUCAAGUCAUCAAGUUGCCACCUCAUGAGUGACAGCCAGCCUUUGGCGCACCCACAUGCUCAUAUUGUUUUUGAAUUAGUUAUUAGCUUAUACUUUUGUCAAAUUUUUUUGAUAAAAUAAUUAAUAAUUAUCUAAUGUAUUAUUAUCGCAGACAAUAUAAUUCAAAUACGAUAAUAUAUGAGUUUUCUUUUUUAAAGAAUCGCAGGACGAAAUUUCGUCGAUAGUAUUUUUUUUAUUUACAUUGUAUUUUUUUUAAUUUUAUUAUUAAUUUUUUACUUGUCUAGUGUAUUUUAAUAAUUUCUUUUGUAUAGAAUAAUUUUUUUGUGAAGUAAUUGAAUUAAAAAAAAAUCUAGCCCACCCUAAAAAAUAGUGCUAGCUUCGCCACUGUAUAUAUAUAUAUAUAUAAUUUGUUUCACCAUUAAAUUAACGGAAUAGAAAAAUAAAGACAGUAAAAAAGCAAAAACGAGAAGCAUAUAUAUAUACAUAUCUCCUAUAUCCUUUCUUGAAAAAUUGUUAAAUUAACUCUUGACACAUCAUUAAGCAUAUAUACAUAUCAUUAAGCAAAUCUAGUUGGAUUCUGUUUGUAGGCAAAAGAUUUACGUUUUGGUUAUUUUAGAAACAAAGACACCUAAAACAGAUACAACACUGUAUACAUAUAUUAUAUAUGAUAAAAGGAUAAAACUGUGGUGCAACUGUGGUACCGUGCCACAGUUGCACCCAACCGUUGAAUUCCCACUUAUUCAAGUGGACCCCACUCAUUUGAGUGGAUCUAACGGCUGGUGCAACUGUGGCACGGUAUCACAGUUGCACUGUAGCCUGACCCAUGAUAAAAUACACAAGAAACUAAUUACCAACAUGUGAAUAGUUUUUAAAGUCUUGAUCUUACCAAUGUUGCUUGCUUCGUUUGGUAUCAGUUUGUUCUGCAAAGGCAGCUGCUUCCGCUCUAUUAUUACUCAAGUCAACCUACCAUAUAACCAAAAAAUAAAAUAUAGUAAGAAACAAAACUUGUAAAGAAACUAUCUUUUGCAUGCGAAUAAUAAUAAUAAUAAUAGUAAUUAUUAUUGGCUUGCAGAUAUAGUAAUUAUUAUUGGCUUGCAGAUACCAAUGAAUUGAAUUCGAAGGAAACUAGGUGCUUAGUGAAAACUUAAUUAAAAGUGUGAAACCUGAAAUUAAAAUGCAUGCCAAGAGAACAUACAUUUACAGGUUUUGGCUCUUCUGUUUUGAAACUGCAUGCUCUCUAUCGAUCUGGCUAUAAAUAAAAGAUGUUACGAGAAAGAGUAUUAUUGAGUGGCAUUAAUAAUUAACUAAUGUAUUUUGGUGAGACUCAGUAAUUGCACCCACCAACCUAUGGAUACUGGGGACAUGAUCUAAUUAAUUUGGCAUUAAUUAAAGGAAAAUGUAGGACUCGUUUGGUGGUUGGUUAAUUGCCUAGUGCCUGCAGCCGGACAGUAGCAAGUCGACUACUCGAGCAAUACAAUUUCAUUGAUGACAAGACCCUUGGAAUCUUCAUGGUCUGAUUACUUUCUGGAUUGGAAAAUCUGAAUUCAUAAUUAGAAUAAUUGAUGAAGUUUAUUUUGUAAAAUAGAAGUGGAAAUUAAAAUCAGAAUCAUGGGACCUACCUCAAUUUAGAAAUGAAGAAUGGAAGACUGACUCCCAAAUGGGUGGGAAUUAGUCUCCCAUCCCCAACACUCCCCAAUUUGCCUUUAUCAAAAUCUCAAAAGGCCAAAAAUACCCUCAUUUAAUUAAAAAAAAAAAAAACACAGCCAAAAUUCAUCUCUGCCAAACCGUUGCUUCCAAAAUUAACGUCGUUGGUCAUCAAGCAGCAACAACAGCAUUGUCCAACUGAAGCAGUGUCGUCAAUCAUCAAUAGUAGCAACGUUUUCAAGCAACAACAGCAAUAGCAUGAUCCAAUGGCAACAGCCAUUGUCGAUGAUGAUGCCGACGAUGCCGCUUGUUGUUGAUAAUGAUGUCACUCGUCAAUGAUGAUGAUGAUGAUUAUUAUUAUUAUUAUUAAUGAUAAAAAAUUAUAAUUAAUUAAUAUAUUAUUAACAAUAAUAAUAAUUUUUGAAUAAAUAAUCAAAAUAAUUAAAAUACAAAAUAAUAAUUAUGACAAUAGUUAAUUAAUGAUUUUUUAAUAAUUUGUAACACAUUCUGAUUUCGAGACAAAGUAAAUACAUUAAUGACAAUUCAGUUCAUUCCGAUUUAAAUUCUUACAGUUCAAGUAAAUAAUUUAUUUUGAUUUUCAAUCCUCAUUUCCAUGACAGUUCAUUAUAAUUCAUGUCUAUUCUAAUUCUUGUUUAAUAAAUGCAUCAUAAAUCUUUUAAGGCAGCCAGCUGCUAUUCAGUGUCCAAAUAUCUUGGAGCUCUAUGUGUCCAAACAUUGAGGCUACUGCUUUGGGAUGAAAGACCUUAAUUUCGAUCGGAAGUUAAAUCUGUAUAAUAAUUAACUUAACUUUUUCAUACCUCAUCUGUUUUGGACCUUUUCGUACAAGCAUGGUAGGUAGAAAUUAAUUACCUCGGUGACAGGAGCAAAUGGAGUGUGCAAAAACAAGCAAGUGAAUACGAAGCCCAUGUCAACGUUAUGAUAUUAGAUUAUUGGGUUUAUGAAAAUUAAGACGCCAAACUAAAAUAAAAUGUCUUUUUAUUUGAUUAUUAUAUUUUUACAUGUAAAUUAUAGUAUGAGGAUAGAUCUAUGCAAGCAUAAAUCAUCAGCUGCAGCAUUAUUUCAAUACCAUCCGACAUUGAGGGAUCACCCGCCGUUUGGCUCUAGUAAUUCCUUGGAGCCUACCAAAAUUGCCGUAAGAGAAAGAGAAAUAAAUAUUUGAACCAGUAUUCGGCUUGAAUAAAAAUUAUUACGAAAGAAUAAAUGAAAAAAAAAAACUCACCAUUUGCUGGGCCCAUAAUGAACACUUCAUCACCAUGUGAAGCCCUAGAAGAGAGAGUAUCAAACAUUUAUUCUUAAAGCAUUAUUUGCAAGAAUGUUAUGCAGUUAAAACAGCAAUGCAAAAUGACAGAAAGAUUAAUAUGAUGGUACAUUUACUAAAUGAAAAUCAAAAUAAGAUAGAAUGGAAAUUAAAACAAGUUGUUUACUUGAAUUAUAAUAUUCUGAAUUGGAAUGAACUUUACUUCCAUUAAUUUGUUUACAUUGUUUUAGAACAAUAACGAUAGCAAUAAUAAUGACAAUAAUGAUAACGAUAACAACAACAACAACAACAACAAUACUAAUAAUAAUUUGAAUAAUCAACAAUCGACGAGUACUGCAUACUACCAGCGACGAUCACUAGUGCAAGGCUGAUGAUUUGCAUCGGUGCAAGGCUCUGCUCUGUUUGACAGGAUUGUGUGCGACAGUGGUGCACGACGACCGGCUCUGCUAAGUUCGACGACUGGCAUGCAACGAUCAUGGCUUCUGGUUCUUAUCAAUCGACCGUGCUAUUUUUUUUCUCUCUUUUUUUUUUAACCAAGGAUAAAUCCAGGUUUAUGAAUUUUGUUAGAGAGCAGAUUUAUUCCGAAGGUGGGAAUCAAUGACCUUUUGAUUAUGAUUCCUUCUUUUACUUUAAACAUUGUCAACUAUUCCAAUUAUGGAUUCCAAUUCCUCAAUCCGGAAUGUGAACUCACCGUAAAUGUUUCCGCAAAAUCAACAUACAUAACAAAUGUUAACUUACAUGGCCCUUUAGUCAUGAGGGAGAGUGUGCUAGAUUAUAUUAUAUUACAGCUGUUAUAUACCUGGAUCAACGGCCUAGAUUUAGUAUAGAAUAACAACAGUUAAUAUGAAUGAGGGGAUCUUGUCUAUAAAGGGUACAGUCUGUUGCUUCUCAACGGCAGUGGUGAGUCGUCGUCAACCUUAUCACUAUGAUAUUUCCACGAAGCUUCUUGCUUUUGAGUGUCUACAACGACCUGAGGCUGAUGAUUUGCACUUACCGAGUCUUAGAAUAUUGUAAUUGUUGCUUCCCGCAAAAUCGUAAACUCACAGGCAUAUCAUCAAACACUAAGUUACUUUCAUCAAACACUUAUCAUUUCAACAGUCAUUAAUUGCGCUGACCUGCUGCUGCUGCUGCUGGCCUUUAUUUUUAUUUUUCCAUUUCCUACCAUAACUCUUGCAAGUUUAAUUAUUUUUUGCCCUUUUUUUUAAAUUGUAAUUUUAGUAAUACAUUAUAAUCUAAAAGUUAUUGAGAGUCAGAUCAAUUCAUAUAUUUAUAAGCAAAAGUUGUACUAUACAUCUCGAGAUAUAAAUAUAUUUCUAAAAUUAUUUGAGUCAGGUCGCCCGUCAAGUUAUAUAUUUACUCACAGUCACACACACAGACACACGGUAGAUAGAUUAAGUAUUAAAAAGUCAAAGAAAAAUAUUUAGGCUCAUUUACUUUUUGAUCAAAACUUAGCAGAGUCACAGCACUCACAAGUGGUUCGAACCCAUGGGGCGUAAUAUCUUUUUCAAUUAUAGAAAAUAAUUGAGUAAAAAUAGUCUUUUUUUUUAAUAAAAUAUGAGUAGAAUAAAUGUCUCUUACAUAUUAGAGAUGAUUAGAAUCUAAGCAAUCAGUAUGAGUUAUAAUAUGAGUUAUAAUAUGAACAAUAAUCUCAUAUAAUUCCAAAAAAUACCAAUUUCUAACAAUUAAACCUCUUGGUUACACCUAACCUUACUUAAGACAUUAAGGAUAUUAAAUGAGGCACCAAGCCUCCCAUCCAUAAAUGUUUCAACUUUCGAAGCACAAAGCUCAGAGCCCCGAAACCAUUUGCCUUAGUAGUAAUUUGCAAGAUUCACCAAAGAAGUGUGCUUUUGAAAGAGGCUGCUACUGGUGUUGAUUUUUUAUGUCACAAUCUCAGCUCUUGGAUUGGUGGGCUGAUUUUUCCAGAAGAACUUCUGGUGUAUAUGUAUAUAUCUAACAUUCUCUGCAUUGGUUAUUUUUCUUGCUGGGUUUGUUUGUUUUGGUGUUUUUAAGGGUAUUUGAGGUGAUUAAUUAAUAUUUUGCCAACUUUUGUGACAUGGGUCCAAUUUCAUUAUAUAUGAAAUGGUACAUAAAUUGAAUCUCUUACAAAUGGAGUUUGAUACGUCUGUUUGCAGGCAUCAUAUAUUCUCUGUUCAAGCACCAAGCUAUGUGGAUGCAAGAACAAGUUUUGUUUUUUUUUUUUUUUACUACUCGGAUUUAUUGUUAAAUUCUGAUAGUUUCUUAUUCUCGCAAGUUGAUGAUGUCCUUUAAAAGUUUUUACUGAGCUUGUUUGUCAAAAGGUGUUCGAUAUGACUCAUCGUAUAAAACUCAAUUGUAGAGAGAGAAUGACAUAUUAUCUCGUUAUAUGUUGGAACAGAACUCCACCAUCUAACGAGAUUGUAUCUCCUUUUUUUCUCAACAGCUUUACGUUUUAUAUGAUGAGUCUAUAACGAACACCUUUUCAUAAUAUAAACUCCUAACAGAACUUUUAACGGACAUCUACUUAAAAGAAUAAGAAAAUAUUGAAAUUUAAAAAUAAUAAUCUGGAUUGUGAAAAAAAAAUCUGCAUAAAAAUGAAAUUAAAGACAAUUCCAAGAGAUUGCUGCACAGACAAGUGUAGUUUGGCAUUUCAAGUUUGAAGCGGAUGAGGUGGAUACAUGUUACAACUGUGAGGGUUUGGCUCUUCUGAAUGCAAGGAACGGUACACCCAUAAUUAACAAGAUUGUGACUAAUGAUAUAUGAAUGUCACAUCUGUAACCCUUUAAAUUGAAAGUUUUAUUUUAAAAGUUUUUGCAGCCACGGAAGCUCUUAUAUAUUCUCUGUUCCACUACUUUAAAUUCCAUAAAAUUUCAGAACAUUAUAUAACCUCACUGUUAACAGCUGCAAUAGAAAACAUAGACACAACUGAGCUACAGCUUCACAAUGAAUACAAGAGGAAAAUUUUUACUAGUUUUCACAAAGGUUGUCUAGUGAUGCUGGUGUGUGAUUUGGACACAGAGUGCCAACAUUUCACGAAUAUAAAAGGCUAAUUUGAUUCAAUUAUGAGAAAUCAAUCCACAAUUUGAAGAAUUAAUUUUUUUUUAAAAUAAUUGUGUAUGAUUAAACUGUCACUAUUUUUUAUACUCAGAAUCCUAACACAUAAUUAAAAUUAUGUCAUUUUCUUAAAAAAAAUACCAUCGUUCAGGCAAUUAAAAAAAAAAUCCUAAAACAUAAUUUUGACUUCAAUAAUUGCUCAACAAAUAUUUUGCAAAAGCCAACUCAUUUCACAUUAAUUCACACCUGUCAUCAGAUUAUCCUCAUAUAUAUGCUUCAGAAAACAACAAAUAAAAAUUGCGUCAUUCCUUCAUGUUGGGCAAUUUGCAGCCUCAAGCUCACGGUUCCCUGAUCAUGACUCAUGGCAUGACUCGUGUUCGUUUCACAACUAUCAAUAAUUGCCUCAAGUUUUAAUCUUGCUUGAUCUCUAGUUUGUGUUGAGAACGGUGCUGCAUGCAGCCAUGGAAGCUCUUAGACUCUCCUCGGUUUCACCUUUUUGUAACGCUACAUUCAAACUUGAGUACAAUAAGACCCACUUCACUAAGCCCAAGUUCUUAAGCUUUCAGUUCAGUUCCCUGUCCACUUUAUCAUCUUUCUCAUCAAAACCAUACAAAAUCUUCACCACCUUAUCACCAUCGUCACAAGUUUCAACUGAAGCCACAGACCCACCAGAAAGAGAGCUUGAAACUAACUCACAAGAGGAGAAAUUUGAUUGGUUCUCACAGUGGUAUCCAUUGAUGCCGGUGUGUGAUUUGGACAAGAGAGUCCCUCAUGCAAAGAAAGUGUUGGGGCUUGAUGUCGUGGUUUGGUGGGACAGGAAUGAGAAUGAAUGGAGAGUCUUUGCUGAUGCUUGUCCUCACAGAUUGGCUCCUUUGUCAGAAGGAAGAAUUGAUCAAUGGGGAAGGCUUCAGUGUGUGUAUCAUGGCUGGUGCUUCAGUGGCUCGGGUGACUGUAAAUUUAUCCCUCAGGCUCCCCCAGACGGCCCCCCGGUAACAUCUAUUGCUUCACUUUUGCAUCACAUUCAUAUGUUUUAUUAUGUUUUGUGUUGCUAUAGAUGCUUUUGCGGUUGUCUCGCUUAUGUGUAGAGUGAGAUGCUAUAGUUUUGUCCAAUUAGAAUCUCUUCUAGGCAUAGAGUUUGUUUGUUUAUAAUUGUUGCGCUUCAGCGCGUUUUUUGCCCGAAAGCUAUCCCGGAAGGACUUACAGACUGGAAGUAAUAAAAUAGGUCAAGGGUCUAAUUCCAAGGGGAUACGUUUAAUUCUGAAAGAGCAGUAGCUAAUUAAAUGUUUGGUAAAGCCGCCACACCUCUCAUCUUCAGUUUAAUUGUGAAGGAACAAUGAAAGAUAAGGGGAAUACAUGAAUUAUGAUUCCAUUGCUUGCUUGAUAAAAUUUUGUUUUGAUUUUUCUGCAAUCUAGUUUUGAUUUUUUGUUCUUGCAUGCAGUUGUUGUUAAGAUUUCUACUUUGCUGGGUGGCUGAUUGCUUUAAUUUUUACCAACUUAUUUGUCAAAAUAUGUAGGUCCACACAUUCGAGAAAGCAUGUGCAGCAGUUUAUCCAAGUACCGUCCAGCAUGACAUCGUAUGGUUUUGGCCAAAUAUUGCUCCUCGGUACAAGGAUAUUAUCAAGACUAAGAAACCUCCUCACAUCCCGGAACUAGAUGACCCGUCAUUCACAAAAUUGUUUGGGAACAGAGAUAUACCUUAUGGGUAUGCAAUGAUCCAGUCUUCCAUUUUAAUUUGAGCGAGUUAGCACACGAAAUUCUAGAUUGAAUUUGUACUAUACUGAUAUUUGGCAAGAGUCAUUAAGAAAACUAGUUGAACUUAAGUGUAAUGACAACCUGGUCAAUGCAAGUUAACAACUUUUUCUAAUUGCAAGUAAGUUGCAUUUUCAGUUAUGAGGUCUUAUUGGAAAAUCUUAUGGACCCUGCUCAUGUUCCAUAUGCACAUUACGGAUUGAUGCGUACAAGGAAACCCAAAGGUUGAUAAAUUCCUAGAUAAACCUUGUUCUACGUUUAAGUCAUUUAUAUUCUCUUCGUGAAUAAAACCUAUUAGUUAAUACUAAAUUUUCUUUACAGUGAAGCUCGAUAGAGAAGGGGGAAGACCAGUUGAAAUGAGUGUCAAUAAAAUAGACAUAAAUGGUUUCAUUGGAAAGCAGGAGUGGGGAAGUAGCAAAUUUUUGGCACCUUGUAUCUUUUUUGCUUAUACUGAUCUUAUGAAGGAUCAAGAAAAUGGAUCUGCAUCAUCAGCAGGAGCCGAAAAGGUAAAGGUCAAUAUGUUUCAUUAUGCUCAGCUGACAGUAGAAUUUUGCACUCUUUUCAGUUCUUAUUCUAUGCUGUUUGGGCUUUCUUUUAUCCAUAUACAUUUCGGUUGGUGCAGAAGCUGGAGCAACAAAGAGCAGCUCUGAUUUUUAUUUGUGUUCCAGUUAGUCCUGGUCACAGCAGAUUAAUAUGGGCGUUCCCAAGAAACUUUCAAACUUGGAUAGACAAAGUUGUUCCGCGGUGGAUAUUUCAUAUUGGACAGAAUCUAAUUCUUGAUUCAGAUUUAUACCUGCUUCACGUUGAGGUGAUUCCUGUCUCUGUAUGCUAAAAUAAUUUUAACCUAAAGUUUUUUGAAAAUGCUGAGUGGAUUGGCGUUCAAGUCUACUGCUAGUCUAGGCCUCAAACUCAGAUUUGAGACUCGUCGACCAUUUCAUUUUACUAGAUUGGUUGUGACACCAUCCAAAAAGCAUAUUUUUGUUUUUCUUCUCAAUAGAAGGUAUUCACUUAAAUACUACUCUCCUACAAUAGAAGAAUUUAAUAGAUUCUUUCUUGUUUCUGGCUGUGAAUUACCUGACUUCUGUUUCUCUCUGCAGGAGCGAAAGAUAAUGGAUGUUGGCCCUGCUAAUUGGCAGAAAGCUUGUUUUGUGCCAACAAAAGCCGAUGCCCUGGUAGUUGGUUUCAGGAGGUGGUUAAAAAAAUAUGCCGGUGGCCAAUUCAAUUGGGGAGGGAAAUUCAAUGCGACUCUUCCACCAACACCGCCCAGGGAACAGCUCAUGGACAGGUAUCUGGGCUUCACUUUUAUAAACUUGAACCCCUUAACACCAUGUCAUGGGAUUUUACAGUAGUUCCCAGUUUUGAAACUCAUAUAAAGAGCAGAGGUUUAUGGAUAUUUAAAAGAAGCAUUAUUUGUUUCUUCAAGCUUGAGAAACAUUUUCUUUUGUGUUUUGCCAAAUUUCUUAUGCAAUGCCUUGAAAACGGGAACACUGUGAAGUUUGUUGUGACCCCAUUAAAACAUAAGAUUUCGUACUUAAUUAAAGGAAUUUUAUUCAAAUUUGCAGGUACUGGUCUCAUGUGGUGAAUUGCAAAAGUUGCAAUGCGGCACACAAGAGUCUCAGCGCACUUGAGGUCACGCUACAAGUCGUCUCCAUUGCUUCAAUUGGGAUUGUUGCUACAACCAAGCAGAAUGCCAUGUCAAUGGCUACAAGAACUACAAUCAUCUCAUUUGCAGUAAUCUGCUUUGCGGCUUCAAAAUGGUUGUCUCACUUCAUCUACAAAACCUUUCAUUAUCAUGACUACAAUCAUGCCCUUCGCUGAGCUUAGCAUUUAACGUCGAAAAUUAGAAUAUGUAAAUACAACUUAUUUUUCUGUACGUAAAUACUGGAAUGUAGCUUGUAUGCAAACAUUUUGAUCAAGUGAAAUUAGAAAGUGCAGUUGUAAUAGAAAACAUAUAAUUAUCAUCACCAUUAGCAGUUGUAAUUGUAAGUACAUUAUCAUCACCAUUAACAAUUGCAAGAGAAAACGUAUACACAACUGAACCACGGCUUCAGAAUGAACACAAGAAGAACAUUUUUACUAGUUUUCACAAUGGUAUCUAGUGAUGUUGGUGGGUGAUUUGGACACAGUGUCAUACGCCAUGAAUAUAAAAGGCUAAUUUGAAUCAAUUGCGAGAAAUCAAUCCACAAUUUAAAGAAUUAGUUGUUUUGUUUUUCAAUAAUUUCAUAAGAUUAGAAUUUCACUACUUCAUAUAAUUAGAAUCCUAACACAUAUUCUAUUAAAAAAAGUUCCUAACACCCAGGUUGAUAAAAUUAUACCUUUCUUAAAUAAAAUUCCAUUGUUUAAAUAAUUAAAAAAAGAAAUCCCAAAACAAAAUUGUGACCUUAAUAAUUACUCUACAAAAUUUUUGCAAAAGUCUAACUCAUUACACACUAAUUUACUCCAAUUGAUAAUUUUCUUUUCCUUCCGUUAUCAUGUGUAGUCUCAAUAUUUUCUAACCCAUCAAAAUUAGUUAGUUCAAUAUUGACAUUCUUCUCCUAAAAAUAUGUAUUAUUAUAUUUACUAGCAUAUUAAUUAGAUGGUUAAAUAUCACCAUCAUUUGGUACAAAACCCAUAGAUGGCGCAACAAUAUCUUUAAACAAAAUUUCUAAUUGGUCAACAUUUCUCAAGCCUUUAUAACGAAUUUUAAUUGUUUUGAGAAUCUCCUACAAUAAUACAAAAGGAUUAUGUGUUAAAAAUAUGUCUAAAUUGCUCCUAAAAUCAUUUCCUAGUACACCAAAAAAUAAGAAGGUUAGAAUUUGCAACUUCAAUCCUCUCUCCCAUCAGUCAUCGCUAGUAGUAUUUGUCUGUUUUACAACAUCCCAUCCUAAACCAAUUUCAUUCUCAGCAAGUUUGUCCAAAGUUGCCAAUCUAUUUUAGGAUGUCCCACUUAUUUUUCAAUGUUUCUAUUCAUAAUCUCCAUUGGUCAUAGAAUAAAAAUUAGCAACGAGACUUUUCCACCCAAUCAUAUUAAAGUGACUAUUUGGUUUGAUUCCAAGCUAAUGUCUCACUCAUACAAAUCUUAAUAAAAGCACCAGUGGUAACAUCAUCCCAAUCUGCCUUUGAUUUACUUUUCCUUUGCAACAGUAACGAUUCUAGACAAAGGAUAUGUAAUAUUAUUACAUGAAAAACAUAAUGCACAAAUAAAAUGAAGAUGAAAUGAAUUUCAAAUAUAAAUUAAUAAUUGGCAUGCAUUCUUGAAUAAGAUAAUAAAAAGAAGAAUGAAAACUGUAGCAAGUAUCAAAUAUCAAAUAGUAGCAUAGUGAAAUGUGUUCAUCAUAUUUCUAAUAAACUAGAUUUAUUUUAACAGUGAUGAGGGAAACAUCGAUGCCUGCUAUGCACCUCACCAAAGUUGUGACAAUGAGUUUUCUAUCAAAUGAUGGCAAUAAUUUAUUUUGUGUAAGGUUUUGUAUAAAAUAAGUAAAGCGGCGGCAAUCUCAUUAGAACCAAAAAAAAAGAGAAGUAGCAGCAGUUAGUUUUUUAUCAAAUGGUGGCAAUUAAUUGUUAUUAUGUAGGUUUUAUAUAUAAAUAAGGGUAUUAUGUAAUUAAUGAAAUGUUCUUCAGGAAUUGUUGAUAUAUAUAUAUGUAUUUAAAAGUUCUUUAAUCUCCAUUCAUAAAAGCUCAAAUUCCAGAUUUUGUUAAUGGAGGCAAAUUAACUUAUUUGAACUGAAAAAGAUAAACUAAAAAAACACUAAUAACUAAUUUAAAAAGAGCUUAUAAAAUUAAAUAAGUACUUAUAGCCGUUAGAUAAAUUAUACCAAACAAAUAUUUUAAAGGAAAGCUGAGUCUAUAUACAUUUUAUUCUUUUCCUAAAUUUAUAAAAUAGUUAUUGGACUACUUCUGCUACUGUUUUUUUUAGUUGAUCUCAUUCCUUAUUCAAUUGGCUGUUGAUAUAUAAAUUUCCAUUAUCUUUUCUCGAUCUUUUUUCUUUACUAGAAGACUGUAAAAGCAUGAAUCGAAAUCCAACGACAAUGUCCUUUUAAUAUUCUUGCUUGAAGAUAUAAGAAAAAAAUAGAUUAAAGAACUUCUAAGUAGGUGUAUAUAAGAAAGAGUUAUGCUACAAAUAUACAAUUGGAAUAAAUAAUUUACACCCCAAAUGAUAUGAACAAUGAUGUGUCAACAUUUAAUUGGUGAUGUAAUAUUAUCUUAUCAAUAAUGAAAGCUAAAACCAAUUGGCGCCUAAGAGGCUAAGACAUGUCAAUUAAUUGCUAAUGACACAUUACUAAUGAUACAAAGUAUAUAUUUACUUAAGAAAAUGGUGGAAAUUGACAAAUGAGAUGGUCUACUUUUAGCCUUUGAUGAUUUCUAUCCAAAAUCUGGCGUGGGCUCCGCAGCCGAGCCCACACCAGCGACUAUUUGGGUCUUCAAUGUAAAUGAGCAAAAGUUAUAGAGAAGAAAAAAAAAGAAAAGAAAUUUAUUUCAAUUUAUGAUAUGUUUUGAUUAGCAAUGCUAGUUCAUGUAAUGUCAUUUCAAAAGAAAAGUCACACCUGCUAAUUCAAUUUUUUUUUUAAUUUCUGAGAGGAAUUUAAAACUUUAAUUAUUAGGUGAUAUUUUCAUUUACCAUGAUAUUACUAGUAAUGUUGAAUCGUAUCAUUAACUACUUAAUAUGGUCGGUGACUUAACACAUACGAUACAUUAUUUCAACAUAAUUUAUAGUAAAAAUAGUCCAUUAUCUUAUGCAUGUCCUACAUGACUAAGAUAAUAGAAAUUAAUUUUAGUCAAUUUUGACCAAAACAAGUCAAGUUUUUAUUUUUGAAAUUAAUUUUAGUCUAAUUAGUUAAACAUACGCUUCCAAAAUAAUUCAUUUAGUUGUAACUAAAAACCAUCUCAUUUAUAUAGUCAACAUUGUUGCCCAUAAAAUUAAAAAGUUCAUAAUUUCGCAUGUCUAAUAUUAAUUCUCAAGGAAAAAUGCAAUUCACCCAUUAAUUUAGGUGUAACUUAACCAUGAAUAAUGCAUGUACGCUAGUAAAGAGAUGCAAAAAUGUUCUUCAUACAGAAUGUUUUCCAUAAAUAUUACAAAAUAUAAAAAAAAAUGUAAAAUGUUUGUUUUAAAGUGCCAAAAGAAAAUUAAUAAAAAUUCAACAAAACUUAUAAAUCGAGUAAAUGCGUCGCCUUACACAAACAUAAUUAUAAUUUGAUAAAAUUAUGCUUUUUUCUUAAAUAAAAUUCCAAUUUUCAAAUAAUAAUAAUAAAAAAAAAGAAAUCCUAAAACAUAAUUUUGACCUUAACAAUUACUCUACAAAUAUUUUGCAAAAGCUAGCCAACUCAUCUCAUUAUCCUCAUACAUGAACAAAUAAAAAUUGAAUCUGGUAUUGAGGGGACGUGCUCUUUUUUUCCGGCGAAUUUUCGAUGGCAGAUAAUCUACGGAGGCUGUUUAGCAUAGUGAGGAGCCUUGGCCCCCGUAGCAGUCAAAUAAAACGGCUUAGCUAUUGAAUAAUUUUGUGGCAUCCAUUCACACUACUUGUAUAGCGCUAUUAAAUCACUCAACGACUCCUGACUUAUUCAGUUGGACUCAACAAAUGUUGACUGAUUCAACUACAAGGAAAUGAAAUGAAAGACACAAACAUAAGAGACGCAUUAAUUUAUGUUGGACUUUUCAGCGUCACGGUCAGAGUCCACUGAUCAUGACUCAUGUGGCGCACGUUCAUUCGCAAUUAGCUAUAAUUAUCUCGAGUUCUAACCUUGCUUGAUCUCGAUUUUUGUGCAGAGUAAGGUGUUGCAUGCAGCCAUGGAAGCUCUCUUACUCUCCUCAGUUUCACCAUUUUAUAACACUCCAUUAAAACUUAAGUACAACAGAACCCACUUCACUGCUAAGCCCAAGCUCUUAAGCUUCCACUUCAGUCCACUAUCCACUUUAUCAUCUUUCUCAUCAAAACCAUCCAAACUCUUCACCACCUUAUCACCAUCAUCUCAAGUUUCAACUGAAGCCACAGACCCACCAGAGACAGAGCCUGAAACUAACUCACAAGAGGAAAAAUUUGAUUGGUUCUCACAGUGGUAUCCAUUGAUGCCGGUGUGUGAUUUGGACAAGAGAGUCCCCCAUGCAAAGAAAGUGUUGGGGCUUGAUGUCG
rnacentral:lncRNA from 1 species